AUCAAUGUCAUCAACUGCUUCAGAGAUGAAUAGUCUAUCCACAGUACAAUCCUAACUUCUUUUCCUGAAUCCACCUCCCACAUCAAUGCAAGUUUAGAUGCCAGGUCGUCGGCCUUCAUUAUUAUAUUUUCCCUCAAGUCAUGCUGUCGCAACUCAUAGCCUUGCUUCUUCUGUACAGAAAAGACAUAAAUGUGUUGUAGCGACGUUAACUUACCUAUAUUCAGAAUUUGGGAAAUAGGCUUUUUAUUGAUGAAAUCAUGAGCAGACUCAUAGUACGCUCCUAGAUGUCGUAGCUUUCUUAAAUUGCAUAGUUUGUCAGGCAAAUUAUCCACCAUGUGGUUUAACCAAAGUAAUUGUAAGUGGUAGAGAGUACAUAAUGAUGUAGGCAAUUCAGAAACUAACGUCCUGAUGAGGUUCAAAUACCGGAGGUGCUUCAGCUCACCAAUAGAUUUUGGCAACUUGCUGCUGUUGUAAAAUGACAGAGACAAUACAUGCAGUUUUCUUUGGUUCCGUAGCAUGCCAUCAAAAAUAUCACUUGGGCCAUCCAUUAGCAGAUCGAUGCAGAUAAUAGUGCGUAAAUGAUACAGCUUGCAGAUAAUUUGCUUAUGCUUUUGCAUACUUUGAACAUGAACAAAUAGAUGUCGAACAGUGCAUGGUAUUUCUGUCACAUUAUCAUCUUCUAAUCUGAAGCAGCCAUCUCUAGAGAGUGACUCUGCAAAAUCAUGAAGGAUAUCAUGCAUGACAUAGUACGAAUCACAAUGCAUCUGAGAAACCAAUUGGAAGAAAGAUACAGAGACCAUAUCAUUGAAGUAAUCCAUCCCAACCUCUUCUAACGUUCUCCUACUAAAAUUGCAUGAACCAACAAAUCCUUCUCCCACCCAAAGGUGAACCAACUCUUUAGGUUUAUAUCCCUGACCUUUUCGAAACAAGCUGCAAUACAAGAAGCACCUCUGUAGACGUGGAUCUAACUUCUCGUAACUCCACAACAGAGAUGUGAAGGGAUCACUUAAAUCUCCAAGCUUUAGAGCAGCUUUCCAUUCAGCAAUAUCCUUUUUCCUGCACAAUCGAGAACCCAUAACUUUUGCUGCCAAAGGACAUUGUCCAAGCCUUUUAGCAAUCUCCUCUGCAGUGUCUUCUAGCUUCGUGCGUAACAGUUGGUCUUUGAUUUCUGCUCCAGAGAAAGCAUGGUGUUUAAAAAGAGCCAAAAACUCAGUAUCAUCCAUGUUUUCCAAAUGAAUGGCAUGUUCUUGUUCACAACAAAUAGCAGCAGGAAGUGUUUUACUACGAGAAGUCACCAAAACUUUGCUCCCUGACUGUUUAGAGACUAAUGGAGCAAGGAAUAACUCCCACUCUGUCUCAUUAUGAGAUUUUUCAAACCAAACAUCAUCCAAGACAAGCAGGAAUUUCUAUGGCUCUUGUAGUAUAUCACGUAAUUUGCACUGGAGAGUAUCGAGAUUUAGAUAGAACUAAAAUUGAUAAAUCAAUGAAUUAAUUGAUGCUUUGAAUGACAAGAAUAGAUUGUUAGAAAAGCAAGAGGAUCUUUUGUAUGAAGAGCAUGAUAAAUUUGUAGAUGUCCAAAAAUCUCUUGCUUUAGAAGUUAAAAGGAAUGAAAUGCUUUCUUGUGAUUUAUCUACUUGCCAUGGGACUAUUUCUAGUUUAAAAAGUGUUAAUUGUGAUUUAAAUGCUAAGCUAGAAGUAGCAAAUAGAUCUAGUUCUUGUGUAGAACAUGUAGUGAUUUGCAAUAGGUGUAAGGACUUUAAUGUUGAUGCAUGUGUUGAGCACCUUACUUCUAUUGCAAAACUAAAUGGUGAAGUGGCUAGUCUUAAUGCCCAACUUAAGACUAGCAAAAAUGAAUUUGAUAAACUAAAAUUUGCAAGGGAUGCCUACACUGUUGGUAGACACCCCUCAAUUAAGGAUGGGCUUGGCUUUAAGAGGGAAGCCAAGAACUUAACAAGUCAUAAGGCUCCAAUCUCCGCCAAGGAGAAAGGGAUGGCCCCUAUGGCUAAUAGUGUUCAAAAGAAUCAUACUUUCAUUUAUAGUGAUAAAAAAUUCUCUAGAAAUGCUUAUAGGAAUUAUUCUUAUGAUUCAUAUGCUAUGCCUGCUUUAGUUCUUCUAUUGUGCAUGAUAUGCCUAGGAAAAAUGUUAUUCAUCAUAUGCCUAGGAGAAAUGUUGUUCAUGUACUUAGGAAAGCAAGUAAUGAACCUUCUACAAUUUAUCAUGCUUGCAAUGCUUCCUUUGCAAUUUGUAGAAAGGAUAAGAAAGUGAUUGCUAGGAAAUUAGGGGCAAAAUGCAAGGGAGAUAAAACUUGCAUUUGGGUCCCUAAGGCUAUUGUCACUAACCUUGCAGGACCCAACAAGAGUUGGUUACCUAAGACCCAAGCCUAAAUUUGCCUUGCAGGUUUAUGCAUCCGGGGGCUCAAGCUGGAUUAUCGACAGCGGAUGCACAAACCACAUGACGGGGGAGAAGAAGAUGUUCACCUCCUACGUCAAGAACAAGGAUUCCUAAGAUUCAAUCAUAUUCGGUGAUGGGAACCAAGGCAAGGUUAAAGGACUAGGAAAAAUAGCAAUUUCAUCUGAGCAUUCCAUUUCUAAUGUGUUUUUAGUAGAAUCGCUCGGAUAUAACUUGUUGUCCGUUAGUCAAUUAUGUAAUAUGGGGUAUAAUUGCUUAUUUACAAAUGUAGAUGUGUCUGUCUUUAGAAGGAGUGAUGGUUCAUUAGCUUUUAAGGGUGUACUAGACGACAAACUCUAUUUAGUUGAUUUUGCAAAGGAGGAGGCCGAUCUAGAUGCAUGUUUAAUUGCUAAGACUAGCAUGGGCUGGCUAUGACAUCGCCGUCUAGCACAUGUGGGGAUGAUGAACCUUCACAAACUUCUAAAGGGAGAACAUGUGUUAGGACUAACAAAUGUGACUUUCGAAAACGAUAGACCUUGUGCAGCUUGUCAAGCAGGUAAACAGGUGGGAAGUGCUCAUCACAGCAAGAAUGUAAUGACCACGUCAAGACCUCUGGAGUUACUUCAUAUGGACCUCUUCGGACCCGUCGCCUACCUAAGCAUAGGAGGAAGUAAGUAUGGUCUUGUUAUAGUUGAUGAUUUUUCCCGCUUCACUUGGGUAUUCUUUUUGCAGGAUAAAACAAAAACCCAAGAGACCCUCAAGCGCUUCCUAAGAAGAGCUCAAAAUGAGUUUGAGCACAAGGUGAAGAAGAUAAGGAGCGACAACGGGUCCGAGUUCAAGAACCUUCAAGUGGAGGAGUACCUUGAGGAGGAAGGAAUCAAGCACGAGUUUUCCGCUCCCUACACACCACAACAAAAUGGUGUGGUAGAGAGGAAGAACAGGACGCUCAUUGACAUGGCAAGGACGAUGCUUGGAGAGUUCAAGACCCCCGAGCGGUUUUGGUCGGAAGCCGUGAACACGGCCUGCCACGCCAUAAACCGGGUCUACCUUCAUCACCUCCUCAAGAAGACGUCGUACGAACUCCUAACCGGUAACAAACCCAAUGUGUCAUACUUUCGUGUUUUUGGGAGCAAAUGUUAUAUUCUAGUAAAGAAAGGUAGAAAUUCUAAGUUUGCUCCCAAAUCUGUAGAAGGGUUUUUGUUAGGUUAUGACUCAAAUACAAAGGCGUAUAGGGUCUUCAACAAAUCAUCGGGUUUGGUUGAAGUCUCUAGCAACGUUGUAUUUGAUGAGACUAAUGGCUCUCCAAGAGAGCAAGUUUUUGAUCUUGAUGAUGUAGAUGAAGAGGACGUUCCAACGACCGCAAUACGCACCAUGGCAAUUAGAGAUGUGCGGCCACAGGAACAAAAGGAGCAAGAUCAACCUUCUUCCUCAACAAUGGUGCAACCCCCAACUCAAGACGAUGAACAGGUUCAUCAAGAAGAGGCGUGUGAUCAAGGGGGAGCACAAGAUGAUCAUGUUAUGGAGGAAGAAGCACAACAUGCCCCUUCAACUCAAGUUCGAGCGACGAUUCAAAGGAAUCAUCCCGUCGACCAGAUAUUGGGUGAUAUUAGCAAGGGAGUAACUACUCGCUCUAGAUUAGUUAAUUUUUGUGAGCAUUACUCUUUUGUCUCUUCUAUUGAGCCUUUCAGGGUAGAAGAGGCCUUGCUAGAUCCGGACUCGGUGUUGGCCAUGCAGGAGGAGCUCAACAAUUUCAAGAGAAAUGAAGUUUGGACACUGGUGCCACGUCCCAAGCAAAACUUUGUGGGAACCAAGUGGGUGUUCCGCAACAAACAGGACGAGCACGGGGUGGUGACAAGGAACAAGGCACGACUUGUGGCAAAAGGUUAUGCCCAAGUCGCAGGUUUGGACUUUGAGGAGACUUUUGCUCCUGUGGCUAGGCUAGAGUCAAUUCGCAUAUUGUUAGCCUAUGCCGCUCACCAUUCUUUCAGGUUGUUCCAAAUGGAUGUAAAGAGCGCUUUCCUCAACGGGCCAAUCAAGGAGGAGGUGUACGUAGAGCAACCCCCUGGCUUUGAGGAUGAAUGGUACCCCAACCAUGUGUGUAAGCUCUCUAAGGCGCUCUAUGGACUUAAGCAAGCCCCGAGAGCAUGGUAUGAAUGCCUUAGAGACUUUUUAAUUGCUAAUGCUUUCAAGGUUGGGAAAGCCGAUCCAACUUUAUUUACUAAGACUUGUGAUGGUGACUUAUUUAUGUGCCAAAUUUAUGUCGAUGACAUAAUAUUUGGUUCUACUAACCAAAAGUCCUGUGAAGAGUUUAGCAGGGUGAUGACUCAAAAGUUUGAAAUGUCGAUGAUGGGCGAGUUGAACUACUUCCUUGGGUUCCAAGUGAAGCAACUCAAGGACGUCACUUUCAUCUCCCAAACGAAGUACACGCAAGACUUGAUCAAGCGGUUUGGGAUGAAGGACACCAAGCCCGCAAAAACUCCAAUGGGAACUGACGGACACGUCGACCUCAACAAAGGAGGUAAGUCCGAUCAAAAAGCAUACCGGUCUAUGAUAGGUUCCUUGCUUUACUUAUGUGCCAGUAGACCGGAUAUUAUGCUUAGUGUAUGCAUGUGUGCUAGAUUUCAAUCCGAUCCAAGGGAGUGUCACUUAGUGGCAGUGAAGCGAAUUCUUAGAUAUUUAGUCGCUACGCCUUGCUUCGGGAUCUAGUAUCCAAAGGGGUCUACGUUUGACUUAAUUGGAUAUUCAGACUCCGAUUAUGCUGGAUGUAAGGUUGAUAGGAAGAGUACAUCAGGGACGUGCCAAUUCUUAGGAAGGUCCCUGGUGUCUUGGAGUUCUAAGAAACAAACUUCCGUUGCCCUAUCCACCGCUGAGGCCGAGUAUGUUGUCGCAGGACAGUGUUGCGCGCAACUACUUUGGAUGAGGCAAACCCUCCGGGACUUUGGCUACAAUCUGAGCAAAGUCCCACUCCUAUGUGAUAAUGAGAGUGCUAUCCGCAUGGCGGAUAAUCCUAUUGAACACAGCCGCACAAAGCACAUAGACAUCCGGCAUCACUUUCUGAGAGACCACCAGCAAAAGGGAGAUAUCGAAGUGUUUUAUGUUAGCACCGAGAACCAGCUAGCCGAUAUCUUUACCAAGCCUCUAGAUGAGUCAACCUUUUGCAGGCUGCGUAGUGACCUAAAUGUCUUAGAUUCGCGUAACUUGGAUUGAUUUAUAGCAUACAUGUGUUUUAUGCCUUGAUCACGUUCCUUAUGCAUUUUGUUUAUUUAUGGUGCUCAAGUUGUACAAGCACUCCCCGGACCUCACAAGUCCGUGUGCAAGUGAUGCACAUAUUUAGGGGGAGAUGUGCUACAACUUGACCCUUUGAGACUAACCAUGUGUUUGAGCUUGCUUGAUUUAGUCUCAAAGGUGGAUUGAAAGGGAAAGAUGGACUUGGACCAUGAAAGACUUCCACUGCACUCCGAUGAGAGGGUAACUAACUCCAAGUUCAUUUCCAUGCUCUUAUUGCCUCUUUACUCUAAGUUGAAGAUUUUGGUGAGGUAAUGGGGUUUAAGGGCCAAGAUUGAUCCCGUUUUGGUGCUUGAUGCCAAAAGGGGGAGAAAAUAAGGCCAAAGCAAGAAAUGGAUCAGCUGCCACUUGAAAAUUUUGAAAAUAGUAGAGUUAGAGUUUUUGUUUUGUCAAAAACCUCUUAAUGUCUCUUCUUAUCAAAAGUUGGUCUCUUGUGGGGAGAAUGGUUGAUUAUGGGAAAACGGGGAGUUUUUUAAUCCUUGAUCAAUUUCUCUUGGAAUACCUUUCUCUAUGCCUCAACAAGUGAAUUUGACUUAGAGAUAGGAAAUUGAGUUUGAUUUGCAAAAACAAACCAAGUGGUGGCAAAGGAUGAUCGAAUUAUGCCAAAUUUGAAUCAAAACAAAUUCGUGUUCUCAUUUGCAUUGAUGUUGCACUUCUAUAUGUUGCUUUUUGUUGUGUUGGCAUAAAUCACCAAAAAGGGGGAGAUUGAAAGGGAAAUGUGCCCUUGGGCCAUUUCUAAGGAUUUUGGUGAUUAAGUUCAACACAAAUGGUUUAAGUGUUAAACUGUGCCAAGUUGUGAAUGAAGUGCAAAUCAACACAAAGGUAUGAUUCUAGACUUAGUACAUUGGUUUUUAUGUACUAACAUAUUUGUCUAAGUGCUAGAAUCAGAGAAAAGACAAAAGGAAAAUGUCUUGGCUGAAGCAGCCAAGACUCUGCUCUGUCUGGGUGCACCGGACUGUCCGGUGGUGCACCGGACAGUGUACGGUGCGCCAGGCUGGUGCUGGUCAACUGGCCGCUCUCGGGAACUCGAUGGCGGCGUACGACUAUAAUUCACCAGACUGUCCGGUGGUGCACCGGACUGUCCGGUGAGCCAACGGUCGACCGCGCAAUCCGCACGUGACGCGUGGCCGAGCCAACGGUCUGAUGGGAGCACCGGACUGUCCGGUGUGCACCGGACAGUGUCCGGUGCGCCAACGGCUCCAAAUCAUCAACGGUCGGCUGCGCCAGAAUAGGAAAGAAAUAUGCACCGGACAGUGUCCGGUGGUGCACCGGACUGUCCGGUGCACCAGUCGACAGAAGGCAAGAAUUGCCUUCCUGGAUUGCUCUCAACGGCUCCUAGCUGCCUUGGGGCUAUAAAAGGGGUCCCUAGGCGCAUGAAGGAGAACACCAAGCAUUCUUUGAUCAUCUCUUAGCACCAAGACAUCUAUCUAGCGCAUUUGAUUCGUUGUGAUAGCAAUUUGAGCUCCUCUUGAGUUGAGAACUCCGUGUGUGACCUUAGAGCUCAAGUUGUGACUUGUGUGCGUGUUUGUGCUCGUGCUUUGAGGCUUGUGUGUGUUGCUCUUCCCACUCUUACAUUUGUGCUUCUUUGUGAUCAUCUCAUUGUAAGGGCGAGAGGCUCCAAGUUGUGGAGAUUCCUCGCAAACGGGAAAGAGUAAGGAAAGAAGAACACAGUGGUAUUCAAGUUGAUCAUUGGAUCACUUGAAAGGAGUUGAGUGCAACUAUCGUCCAUUGGGACGCCACAACGUGGACUAGGCAAGUAUUGUACUUGGCCGAACCACGGGAUAAAUCCUUGUGUCUCUUGUGCUUGUUCUCACUGUGUCAAUUGUGGUUCACAAGAGCUCUCCUUAGCCACUUGAUUUCAUUGUGCUAACACUUAAUCAAGUUUGUGGCUUUAAGUUUCAAGUUUUUACAGGAUCACCUAUUCACCCCCCUCUAGGUGCUCUCACUUGCGCGCAAACAUAAAUCUUUGGAUCUCUAUUGGUAGUGGCAGCGCCUUGUUCAUGCGAUGGAAUGUGAGAUGAUAUAGGGCAUGAGCACGUAGGUCUCGAGAAUUGUCCUGCAAUACAAGCAUAGCAUUAAUUAUACACGUAUAUAGCUAACAUGUACAACGAUGGCAACCGGAAGAUAAAUAUUUAGCAUAAUCACUUACUGGUUGAGUGUAAGAAGUGAUGACACCUGAAUUGUGAUCAUAAUACUUCAUGUAACUCAUUACAUAAAAGCCACAGUCGUUUGACCCUAUUCUCAUUGUUGGGCAAUUUGAUGGCAUAUCCAUUGGAAAGUUACCAAAUUUGGGGAAGGAUGCAUUGGGGCAAACAUGUUGUAACACUUUGCUCAACCUACUCAUUAUAACCCUAGCCCAUGGGAAUUUCCUUCCACCUAAAUAGAUUGGGUCAUAAUGGUAGUCCUUCCAUGUGGUGCCACCGAGUUCUAUACCAUACGAAUUCGAAUCUAAAAUGUGUAUACACCGAUGUUGUAGGUUGAUUACAUACAGUGUCCAAUGUCCCCUACUAAGCAUAGGUACCAAUAUCUGUUGAUGAAAAAAUGUAAAUAAGUAACAUGUUGAUGUUACAAUGCCAUGAUGAGUAAAAAGUACAGUUAAUAUACUAAUGAACCUUUGAAAAAAGAAUACUGAGGCUUACCGACUUGCAUUUAUCCAGAUUUACCAACGAAGGCAGUGUGUUAUGUAAGCAAUUCUGUAACACAUUUUGAUCAAACGGCUGAGGAUUCUUACUAUGAUGUUCCUGCUCUUCAAAAUUUAGCAGAGCCUAGAAACAACAUAGAGAGUGUGUAAGUAUAUUCUGUGAAUAAUUACAAAAACUGUGAAGAAGAACAUACCUCAACAUUGACAUCAAGUAAUAAUCUAUUAGAAGUCAUAGUUCGACGAUGAUUUUUGGAAUCAUCACGAACACACUCAAUGAAGCACUGCAUGAAGACAUUCUCAAGACACUUCCCCUCUAUGAAAGAUUCAUAAAUAUCGAGACAGUUUCCACUGUAUUCACCGUAAUCUAUGACAACCUUGUAUGAAAAAUAUAGUUAUAUAUUCAUAUUACAUACAUGAAACAAACUAAUAAAUACGGUCUUCGUAAUUUGUGUAACGUGUACCUGCUUUGGUCAAUGUCCUUGGAACAGAGUAAAUCCCACAGAGCACGAACGCAAUCAAGCUCUGUAAGGAGUGGAGAAGUUCCAGAAAGUGUUGUCCCUUUUAGUGUAUCAUCCUGAGAUGCAACCUGGUUAUAAGUGUUUGAACAUUAGAAUAAUUAGUUUAAUGGCAUAAAGUGCAUUAUAGAAGAUGUAUGUUAUUAUACUGACAUGAGGCAUUGGGGUCUGAUCAAAGACUGGUCCACUGUCAUUGUGUUCCAUUUCAUCUGUUGCCAUUUCACCUCUCUACACAAAGGUAUAUGAUUAGUAAAAUUAUGUAAUAUGUAUUGUACUCAUGUAAUCGUAAAAUGGAAUUAUAACAUGAGACAAGGAUUGCUAAACAAACAUUUUUUGCGGUGUCACGUCAAAUUUCGACAAACGGGUGCAAGCUGGUGUGGGUUGAGGUGUGAUAUUUGUGUUCCUCAACAUGUUGUUUCGAACAUCAAAGCAGAAAUCCUGUUGACAAAUAGUGUGGUUCGUAUCCAGCUAAAAAGAAAUAUGCAAACAAUGUACGUAUGAUGCGUAAAAUAGCUCAUGGGGUUGGAUAUAUUACCUGAUGUCCUGUAUCAACGUCCGCUUCAUCAGGACAAGUCUCUAGUACUCUACGAAUAUGUUGUUGUCUUUCAUAAAUUUCUUCAAACUGAGUACCACCCAGCUGGGUCUCAAACUGCGAUGCUUGGGAUGAUAGAUCCGGUGUGGGUUGGGUGGCAUGGACAGUGUGUCCUUAUACAAAAUUAUAUUGAAAAUAAUGUAUGUCAAAACUUGCAUUAUAGAUCAAAUGUUGCUGCAUAUACUAAAAAUAACAAAAUGUUGUUUACUGUACAUAUAAGAAAAACCCUAUGCACAUGUAGUCUGUGUAAGGUUCUGAAUGUAUGGAAAGUGAUAAUUAUAUGACUGACCUACUAAAUCAGCCGAAUUCCUCGAUUGCUGUGGCUCAUCUGUCUCGUUUUCUAAAUUAUCAGACUCGGCACGUAGUACCUCGUCGAUCAGCUCUAUAAAGUUGUCUGCUAUGUCAUAUUGCUUCUCAAUAAUUCUAUCAAUGUUGACUUUUAUGGCUAAGCAUGCCUUGUCAACAUCCAAGUCAUAUGCAACAAGUUUCUCUAUGAAUUUAGAUCGAUGACGAGGUGGGAGCUCGUUGAUCUUACUUGACAUCAUCUCCUUGAUCGAUGGAAGUUGGAUGUUAAAAGUGGGCCGAGGAGUAGGGGCAGGGCGCGGUGCAUCAAAAAUGUUGGUCCUGCACUUCGGUUGGUUGUUCAACAAAAAUAAUAAGAAUCCCUCACCACACUCAUAUUCCAUUUGUUCCAUAAAUCUUAAAUAGAUGUAUAUAAUACAACAAAAACUUGCCUCGGAUUGGCGAUCGAGCUUAGGUACAACUGAAUAGCAUGUCUCGGUCGAGCUUCGAAACUAAAAUAUAAAAUUUAAGUGAAAGUUGAACUGGAUCAUGAGUUUGUAAUGCAAACAAUGGUACUCAAAACAAAGCACAUAUAUUUGACAUAAAAUUUGUCAUAAAAUACACUUGGUUAAAUAUGAAUAACUUACUUCACAAUAUCCGAAAGGUUCGGCCCCAUGGCGUGCCUUCCUCUUGUCGGCUUUAGUCAAAGCUUUUAUGAUAUUCUUAUCAAAGAAUUUUAUGAGAGGUGUAGCAAGCUUAUUUUGAGGGGCAGAGGUUGCAUGCAGGUGAUCCAGGUAAUACAACUACAUAAAAAAUUUCAAUGUGCAAUGGAUGUGUAAGUAAACAUAACAAACAUCAUAAAACAUGUUAUAUCAUGCCCCACAAUGAGCAACCAAAAUUGCAAUAUAUGUACAUAAGAGAAACUCUAUACUUACAAGGACAACAAUUGAGCAUCCGUAUAUAGUCGUGGAGACAUUUGUGGUGCUUCAGUUAUGCCACUUGUUCGCGGCUUCACAAAGAUCAUUAAAAAUAAGCUGGCACCAAUCGGUCUCGUGGAAACGGUGCAUUUCUUCUGUCAGAAGCACUUCAUGGUUUGUUAUGCCCCAGCUAGCAGUUGGAAACAAUAGACGGUUGAAUAAGAUGAGGAAGAAACAUCUGAUGGUAAGGUCAUCAUCCUCGCCUUUCCUUAAACGAUCAUGUAGCAAUGUCACAUUGAACUCGUCUUUAGCCAAACCAAGCUCUGCCCUCAAGUUGCUUGCUGCAACUGCUUCGUCAAUCCCCAAUGGUUUUCCAUCGCCAUGAUUUGGUACACCAAGGAUAAGAUGCACAAUGUCCUUUGUGAUUUUUAGUUCCUUUCCUGGACCAGGACGAAUUGUCAUGUCCUUGUGGUCAAGCUUGUCCAUCAACCAUUGAAUGUGUGAUCUACUACACAGCGCAUCUACUGUCAUAUCAAGAAUGUUAGAGAAACCUUUACGUCUUAUGGCCUGACGUUGUCCUUCAUUCAAUAUGUUAAUGCUUGCAAUGACAUCUUAUGGGUUGCACCGGACAUUGAGCCUCUGUUAUAAAAUAUAGAACUGGAAAAAAUUUUGUUAUUAUCAAAAACAAAAUAAUAUUCAGAAGCUUACGAAUAAGAAAUUGUUUGUUGAGUAUGCAUAAAAGUAACCUGUCGGGGAAGAUCCUCAGCUUUUAUCCUCUUUGUCACAACUUUUCUUAGAACUCUUGUAUGGCUUUCAGAAAUAUUACGCUUCUUAACAGCUGGCAUGAAGUCAUCUUCAUCAGAAUUCAGUUGUACUGUUUCAUUGAUCAAAGUUUGACUGUCAACAUUUGGAGGAUUUCCCACUUCUGUAGAUGGAUUAGACUAUUCCGCGCACGGAAUGUCAACACUGAAACACUCCUGGCUUGAUUGAAUUGUUAUACGUUUGGGAUUAUUCGGAGGACGGUCCACGUGCUUCAUUUUUUAAAGUCAAAACUGCAUGCAUAAUACACAAUACUGUAAACAUUAAUAUGUUGAAUAUGCAGAUGUAUUGAUUGUGUGGUGAUUGAAUCAAUGAACCUAAUUGUUUUAAAUACCAAGCAUAAAAACAAUCUGUAAAAUUUUGCAUGGUACUUAUAAUAUGUUUCAGUAAACAUCUGAAUGUACUGUUCUCUAGUUACACUUGCAUACAUAUAAUGUCAUGUUCUAUCAUCAUAAACAUCUGAAUAUGUUUCAAUAAAAAUAGACCUUGUUGUAACCAAUAAUGUAUUAACUAUAAACAUCUGCAAUAAAUAAAUGUAUGCACUAAACAUAUAUGAAAUUUUGAAUAAAUCAUAUACUCUAUCAAAAACAAAUAAUUGACUGCUCCUUUACUAAAAACAGUUGCAUACAUGUUCUGUCCUGUUCUACAAUCAUAAAAAUCUGAAUAUGUUUCAAUAAAACAAAACUUGUUGUAAACAGUAAUGUAUUGACUAUAGACUAAUGAAUACAUAAAUUAAUGCAUAUCACCAACCAUAUAAGAAAUUCUGAAUAAAUAAUAUACUCUACCAAAAACAACUAAUUGACUGCUCCUUUACAAAAAUCACUUGCAUACAUGUUCUGCCCUGUUUUAUAAUCAUAACAAACUGAAUAUGUUUGAACAAAACAAAACUUGUUGUAAACAUUAAUGUAUUAACUGUGAACUAAUGGAAUAAAUAAUAUCCUGUUUUAUAAUCAUAAAAAACUGGAUAUGAUUCAAUAAAACAAUACAUGUUGUAAACAGUAAUGUAUUAACUAUAAACUAAUGGAAUAAAUAAAUGUAUGCAGUCACUAAAAAUAUAUGAACUUUUGAAUGAAUCAUAUACUCUACAAAAAACAACUAGUUGACCGCUCCAUUACCACUUGAACAUCAUCUAUGUAAAAAAUAACUUUAACUGAGAUGCAUAAACAUGUAUUCUAAUGUGUGUAACCAUCUGUGUAAAUGUGUGUAAAUGUAUUAAUGCAACUGCAUAAAUAUUUGUCACCUGCCGUAAUCAUUAGAAUGCAGUAUGAAAAAACAACACAUUUGUACUUCAGGAGAUCGAUUUACCUUUUUAGGGUUUGCUAACUUUGUUGACGGUCGACGACGAUCCCAGGUAAUGCGACAAGCUAGGGUUUGGAAGAACCCACCGUAGAUGGUUGGGGAAGGGCUACCCGUUGGAGCGGCACCCGUUGACGGCGGAGAAUGUGGAACGACGACGGAGAAUGUGGAAGCAGUCGCGUCGGCGGAGAAACUAGGGUUUUCUCUGGUCUGGUCUCUCAUCUCAAGUUGCAGACGCGAGGAAAGAGGAGCUCGGAUUGGGGUCGACAAGGAGGCGCCGCUCUAUCACCGAUUGCGCCUGGAUCGACUGCGAGCGACGGAUGGAGCGGAGUCGUCGGAGAGGGCGGAGUCGGCGGAGAGACCUGGAGUUGCGCGGAGAGGGUUGGGGUUUUGCGGUGGGCCGGUGGUGUAGGCAGUUAUGGAAACUGAGACCGGGAGAAGAAAGAGGAGCUAGUGGCGGCAACACGUCACUGCUACUCGAAUGUGUUAGGCUUGUUCGGUUAGAGCAAUCCAAAAAGGGAUUAGAGAGAAUUAAAUUAUCUCUUAGUUAAAAUUGAAUAGAAAGAAAUUUAAUCCCUUCCGAUUCUCUUCUGAAUCAGCAUUGCAAGAACAGAUGGAUGUCGAUGUUUAUGGUAGCCUGCUCAGUCAGAAUAGCUUUGACGCCCGUGCGGACACGUUGCUGUUGAACAGCACAGCGGUUGAUCAGCAUCAGCAGCAGCAGAUAGGUGCUGCAGAAGCGCCGUGCAAUCAGUUUGUGUGUAGGGUUUACAUUUUGUGUGUAGGGUUUACCACCAAAAAACCUUCAGUUUUGGUGCACUAAAAUACAAGGCCUUUUCAUCUCUUACACCAGCAAGCACCUCAUCCGCCAACAACGAAUCCAAUUGGUACUAGAGAACAAGCAAUCACCUUUUAACUGGUAAUAGAGCAAGGAGAUGAACAAGUCCUCGAGCUCAAUCCAUACUGUACAAAUGUAGCUCAUCAUCCGCCAACAACGAAUCUCCAGAAACACUCGGACUGUAGCAGACACAUUUUGACUGUACGUAGCAGAGAAUUAAGACCUAUUUUGACUGUAGCACACACAUUACUGGAACUGGUUCCAUGGUGAACUUCUCUGCCACACCAUCCACAAGCACAAGUGUAGGAAAAUGAGCUAUCUUCUCUAUUGCAUUGCCUGGAGUAUUUAUACUAAUUGCCACAUGAAUGAUAUAGCAAUUGUGCACAUGAAAACAAAAGCUCUGGCCACAGUUAUUACUCCAUUCUGUCAGAGAAAUACAUAUUGGCAAUUGUGCACAACCAAGGAAUGAAUGAUAUAGCAACUGAAAUAGCGGAGCAAUACAAGCGGCAAAAACAGGGAACCGCGGGGACGGCAGAAUUAACGACGGAUUGGCUUCUGACUUGAGCCUGAACUCUGGAGCUUCAAGAGAAGAGGGGUGACGUCAAGGUGCCUGUUUAGAACAUGAAAUGUUUUAAAUAUUGAGAAACUCAUCAAUUGUGCUGGAAAAAUGAAUUAGUAGAACCUGUACCUUCUCAUUUAUUUCAAAGUGGUGCGGUCUUGGUAGAAAGCUCUUCCAACGAACGUGCGAAAUCUUUGGCCAGCUUUCUCCAUCAGGUUCUUGGCAAUUCUUCAUCAAGACGGGGCAAUACAAUAUAGUUAUGCGCUGGAGGGAGGACGGCAGAUCUGGUAAAGAUGUUAUGUUGGGGCAAUGUUCUAUAGAAAGACUCUCCAGACUUGAGACAGAUUUUAGAUUUCUAGGCAGGGACUCUGUUUUGCACCAUGAAAAGUUCAGGUGCUUGACGGAUGAGAGAUUUGCAGGUUCUUCAAAUGAAACUGACGGCUCCUUGCAAUCUGAAAGAGUAAGAUAUGGUGGGGCUGUAAACCCUUCAGCCAUUAGCAUGUGGUUGAGAAAUACAGAGCUACUAACCGUGAGCGAUUCCUGGACACGAAACUGUGAGAUGCACUUGGCAGUGAGGUUUGCAACAUCUACUAAACUUAGGUGCUUAAGGUGCAGGGAAGACAAGCCUUCAACAAAGCAAAGAUCAGGGAGGCCAUUUAGACAUAAUGAUUCAAGGGAGGUCAGGUGGCCAAUCGAUAAGGAUGGGGAGCUUCUGCAGACAUAAAUGGAAAGAUGAUUCAGAUGUGGCAAGCCAUUAAUGAACGAAUCAGCUGCAAGAAUGCAGCCAAGGAUGCUGAGCUCCAUAUCAAGGUUCAACGGCAUUAGUUCUGCUCCCCGUGCUAGCUCUAAAGAAGGACAACCCCAACAGUUAAAACAGGAAAGAGAUGGAGCAGCACGUAAGCCCCCCAGUGAUUUGAGACACAAACAACCUAUUACAACCAACCUGUCAAGCUUUGUCAAAUGCUCAAACACCUUUUCUGAUGGAAGUGUAGUUAAUGCCAUAUUAUAUUCCAAUUGUAAAGUUCUCAGUGAAGUGAGGCCACCAAGGCAAAUAGCUAAAGCUUCAUCUGUAAUACUGCAUGAAGAAAGAGAAAGUUCACAGAGUCCUGACGGUAGAACCAAUGGAAUCUCCAUGGUCCUUCCAUAAAUGAAUCUUAUCCUCUGCUCAUGGCAAAAGAGCCAUGCCUUGAUGAUGUUUUCUUUCAUCCAUACUUUAUCUUCACUUUCCUCCAGACCACUUUCAAUAAUUUGAAGAUGCUUUGAUAUAUCAUCAUCCAUCAUCAAUGUCACCAACUGCUUCAGAGAUGAAUAGUCUUUCGACAGUACUCUCCUAAUAACUCCUGAAUCCACCUCCCACAUCAAUGCAAGUUUAGAUGCCAGGUCGUCUGCCUUCAUUAUUAUAUUUUCCCUCAAAUCAUGCUGUCCUAGCUCAUUGUUGGUGAUAAACAUAAGCAGUGGGCAACAAUCAAUUGAUAAAUCUGUAAGGCCUACUGGAAGAUUAGAUAGUUCCUUCAAAUUUGGAACAGAGUUUAUACGCAACCUAGAGCAAUUCCGAAGGAGCUCUGUAUCUGGUGGUAGGCCUUCUAGCAAACUGCAAUUACUAAGCUCAAAACUUUCCAAAUUCUCAAAAUAGGAUCGCUCUAGUAACCACCCAGGAUAUGUAUCAGAUCUGUAACCUUCGAUUGUGAGCUUACUCAGUUGGGGUGGCGGUCUCAGACCUUCUAGAAUAUCCAUUGCAUCCAUUCCAUUCUCGGAACUCCACUCAAGUGCCAACUCUUUAAGGCGACUUUUCAGAUAUAGCUUCGACUCUACGGCUUCAUCCUUUCCAAUGACAUUCUCAAGAUUUUUCACUCUUAAACUGCCACCAAGCUCAUUCAAGUCCUUCAACUGUCGCAACUCAUAACCUUGCUUCUUCUGUACAGAAAAGACAUAAAUGUGUUGUAGCGAUGUUAACUUACCUAUAUUCAGAAUUUGGCAAAUAGGCCUUUCAUUCACGAAAUCAUAAGCGUCCGAUGAGUACGCUCCUAGAUGUCGUAGAUUUCUUAAAUUGCAUAGUUUGUCAGGCAAAUUCUCCACCAUGUGGUUUAACCAAAGUAAUUGUAAGUGGUAGAGAGUACAUAAUGAUGUAGGCAAUUCAGAAACUAAUGUCCUGAUGAGGUUCAAAUACCGGAGGUGCUUCAGCUCACCAAUAGAUUCUGGCAACUUGCUGCUGUUGUAAAAUGACAGAGACAAUACACGCAGUUUUCUUUGGUUCCGUAGCAUGCCAUCAAAAAUAUCACUUAGGCCAUCCAUUAGCGGAUCGAGGCAGAUAAUAGUGCGUAAAUGAUAUAGCUUGCAGAUAAUUUGCUUAUGCUUUUGCAUACUUUGAACAUGAACAGAUAGAUGUCGAACAGUGCAUGGUAUUUCUGUCACAUUAUCAUCUUCUAAUCUAAAGCAGUCUUCUCUAGAGAGUGACUCUGCAAAAUCAUGAAGGAUAUCAUGCAUGACAUAGUACGAACCACGAUACAUUUGAGAAACCAAUUGGAAGAAAGAUCCAGAGACCAUAUCAUUGAAGUAAUCCAUCCCAACCUCUUCCAAUGUUCUCCUACUCAAAUUGCAUGAAUCAACAAAUCCUUCUGCCACCCAGAGGUGAACCAACUCAUUAGAUUCAUAUCUAUGACCUUUUGGAAACAAGCUGCAAUACAAGAAGCACCUCUGCAGACGUGGAUCUAACUUCUCGUAACUCCACAACAGAGAUGUGAAGGGAUCACUUAAAUCUCCAAGCUUUAGAGCAGCUUUCCAUUCAGCAAUAUCCUUUUUCCUGCACAAUCGAGAACCCAGAACUUUUGCUGCCAAAGGACAUUGUCCAAGCCUUUUAGCAAUCUCCUCUGCAGUGUCUUCCAGCUUCGUGCGUAACAGUUGGUCUUUGAUUUCUGCUCCAGAGAAAGCAUGGUGUUUAAAAAGAGCCAAAAACUCAGUAUCAUCCAUGUUUUGCAAUUGAAUGACAUGUUCUUGUUCACAACAAAUAGCGGCCGGAAGUGUUUCACUUCGAGAAGUCACCAAAACUUUGCUCCCUGACUGUUUAGAGACUAAUGGAGCAAGGAAUAACUCCCACUCUGUCUCAUUAUGAGAUUUUUCAAACCAAACAUCAUCCAAGACAAGCAGGAAUUUCUGUGACUCUUGUAGUAUAUCACGUAAUUUGCACUGGAGAGUAUCGAGAUUAUCAACACGUGGGCACUCUCCCUUUUUUGCAGACUCCAUAAUCUCCCUUGUGUGACGAUGCACAUCAAGUUUGCGUGAGAUGCACACCCACAUCCUGAUAUCAAAGCAUUCUUCUAUCCUUUUGUCAUUAUAGACAUACUGUGCUAAGGUGGACUUCCCCAUUCCUCCCAAUCCAACAAUGGCCAAACCCGAGUACUUAGCUGAGCUUGCCUCAGCAGUUGUUGUCUUGCCGAGAAGAAAAUCUACUAUACGAUCACGAUCCCCGUCGCGACCGAAAACCUUGGAAUUGGGAAGUGAUGUGGUUGUGGCAACACCGGUAGGUGCUGCAGUUGGCCACUCUGCGAUAUUGCCAUGUGGCAAGCCAAGAAGUUCUCGAAGCUGCUUGGCAUCUUCCAGAAUAUUUUUGAGCUCGUUCAUCUUGGUAAUUAGCCUUUUGUUCCCAGGGAGCAAGUUGCGUGCCAUGUUUAUAGCAGAAUUAAAAGGCUUCAUGACAGUGGUUGCAGUGGAGGAGCUUUCAUCCUCUCGGAGCAGGGGACCUUUUCCGCUCUUGGCCUUGGCCUUAAGGACGUUGUACUCAUGCUCGUCCAGCAGGUCCUCGGCAUCAUAGAAGGCUUUUUUGAGACGCCGAAGCCAGGAUUCCAGCUUGCCCCUAUGGGGGCUCUUCUGGGCCGCUUGAAUCACCAACUCGAACUGUGGCAGGACAGUGUCUUGUAGUCGUUCGAUCUCACGCACCAUGUCCACACUGAGGUAAGCUGAAGCUUUAGUAAGAAGCUCCUUGACAAUCGGCGAUGCUGCCCACCUUAAGCCAACUAGCGCCAAGUCCGCCAUGAAGUUGGAGUAGUUUGUGCUUCCUCUUACUUUGUGAACCAAGAAAAAAAAAUGAAUGGAUGAACGAUGGGAAGUAGUAACAAGGCUGUUUUUUUUUUCUUCUGCAGAAGGCAAGCAGCUGAUAAAAACCGCUACAGACUCGAGAAAACCUAGAAUUGGAAAGACGCAUAAAAUUAGUGAAUCUAAAUGGACAAACCAAUUAUUUUCCAGCAAGGCAGCAACGCAAAGGGGAAAUAGCAGUCGAGAUUGGUGAUCUUACACAAGUAAAGUAAAUCAUGGGCGCAUGGAGCUGGAAUCGACAACAAGCGCGAGGCCGCCGCAGUGCAAUGCAGCAACGAGGGAAGCAGCUCCGUCGGGCAGGCAACGCAGGAUUGCUGAUUGAUUCCUGACGAUAGAAUAUCUGUUUUUUGUCGUGGAGGAGACCGAUGGUGCUGCUGACUGCUCGCUGGGAAAGGAAGCAGCGUUGGGAAGAUUGGGAGCUGUUGGGGUGAAGGAGUCAGCAUCGACAGAGACAAAGGAAGCUUCUGGGUAGCUCUACUGACAGGGACAGAUUCGGCUGUGUUGGGAUCUAUAGUAAUUCUAAAAAAAAAACAGAGUAACAUAAUUAAUUUUUAAAAGGAUGUUUGGUUUAAAGAAUUAUUUAAUAUAAAAUAAGACGGUGCAUCAUAUGUCUAUUCUAUAAAUUUGUUAUUUUAAUAUUAAUACUAACUAAUUAAUUGUAAAGAGUGAGACGGCGAUGGAUCAACUUAUUCUAUUAUAUAACUAAAAAAUGAGAAGUGAGAAAACAAUGGAAUAUCUCAUUACUCAAACCAAACACACUGUUAAUUCUUACUCUCCUUUCGUAUUUGAGAGAGAGAAAAUGAUGUAAGUAUCUUUUUCUCUCUUUUAUUGAUUAUUAAGCAGGAUAAUAUGCUCUCAAUUUUAUUCCUAAGAUAAUCAUUACAGGGAGAGCAAUCUUAAAGGCAAGCAAUGAAUGCAUGAAAAAAUAGAUGGUAUAAGGUUGUAUAAGCUUCAGAUAUGAAAAAGUAACAAAAGAUAUCGGAGAUAUUAAAACCUCCCCCGUUUUGCUGCGCCCGCCGCAUUCGGCGGCCUCCCCGCCAUUCGUCGCGUGACGCCUGGCGGUCGCCCGGACCCGAAAUUUUCCUAAACUUCAGCUCUGAGCGCAGGUAGACGGGUCUGUCCCACCGAACACUCUCCAACGUCGUACAUGUCUCCUCUCCUUCUGGUCCCUUUCUCCCUCCAAUGCCAGCGCAUCCCUCUUCCCCCUCGUGGCUCGCGGUCGCCGCUGGCGUUCCUGCUCCGGGCCUUCCACAUGGUGAUGGGCGACCUGAGCACCUCCGACGACCUCGCCACGCGCCACCACCUCACCCACCGUCCACCCAUCACCUUUCCUGUAAACCUCGGCGACCUCCUCCUCAAUCUCAUGAUGUUGUCCUGCAAGUCUCCCCCGAGCCCUCUCCUCAAGCCCUACCACGCCCAGCUAGGCCACAACAGCGCCAAGAUCUAGGCCAUGUCUCCAACUUAGCAACUUAUUGCAGCACAACACGAGAUCUGGAUGGUCUGCAUCGUUGCCACCGUGGCGCGCACCGAGCAGGAGGACGAGGUGCCAGCCCUGACCGACCAGGCGGCCCACAUAGAGGUGCGCACACGGAGGUUUACUAGGUCGACGACUACGUCUAGGUGUUCGUCGUGGCGUGUACUGACCUCAUCAACCGGCUCCAGGGCCUACGCGAGAACCUCACGAACGUGAGGUCUGAGGUGAGUAAGAUCGAUUAUGUCUGUGCCCAGAUUGAAACCAUGCGUCGGUAGAUCUAGAAGGGCGGUUUUGGUGUUGCUUCAUUUAAUCAGUUAGGUUUAAUGUUCAUUGAUGAUAUGCUAUUCCAUUAUUUUUUCUACCUUAUUAGGAGGCCACCCCGCUUGUUGACCUAUUACUUAUUGAAAACAGUCAUGUGUUUCGAUGGUUAGCUUAUGAAGUUUGUAAAAUACAAGAACAUGCUACACCUUGGGCCACCUGGUGAAGUUUGGACCGACACCACGCUCAGAGGAAAAUAUUAAUUAUCAUGUGCAAGCGCAAAUGUUGCACGUACCUGAAACUGCUAAUGAAACCUGUUAAAAAUUAUUUUGUUUGAAGUAGGAACUUAUACGGUGUGUUCAUAUGUCCUAUUUAUACAUCUUCACAAAUAGGCAACGUUUUAUGCACUUCUUUUAGCUACAACCAGUAGGUUUUAAAUUUUGACACUCUCAUUAUACAUUAGAUGUGAACUGAACUAUGGUAUGUGUCGAUGUCUUGCAUUCUUGCCUCAUUGAAUUUGCAACCAUUUUUUGAUCAUUCAUAGUAUGGCGCUUCUACUCAUAUGGUGCAUCACCUACAGUUUGUUUAAAACUACCUUAUUGUUGUUAAAGAAAUCUUGUCAUUAUUGUUUCUUGCUUAUUUCUCUACUACUGGUAGAGUGCAGUGUUGCUUGUUACUGUCAGCACCCAAAGGACAAGAUGCUAAUUAAUCAUAGUAGCAUCAGUGCUGGACCCAUAUUAUGAAGAUAUUUUUGUUCGUCCUUUUUUUACAUGGAGCUGCAAGAACUACAACUCUUCAUGGUUGUUGACUUGUUGGUCACUGUUCUUAGGGUCUUGCAGCAUCAGUGCAGUAACCACUCUGCUUCUGUCAAGUGUUUUAGGUGUCUUCAGCUAGGCCCUGCAGAGCAUCCUUGUUUUCUCACGUUGCCAUAUUCAGGUAUCCAUGUUCUUCAGUUCACAAUUUGUUCAAUGUUGGUUCUGAAAUUCAGAUUCUUCACCUGAAAACAAGAUCUCUUUGAUUGACACAUGACAUCUGGGUUUUGAGGCCAAGUACAUCCUUAAUCUCGUGUUACUUAGCCCCAAACAAGCAAGUACAACCACUAUGACAGAGGCUGUUAUGGGAGUUCUGACCAGCAAGCUUGGUGUGGCCUUAGCAAAAGGGGCAGCAGCCUAUGGUGCAUCUCUGGAUUUCAAGGAAGCGUCUACUCAAUGAUUUUUUAAAUAUCUCCUGCAUUCACAUAGCCUCAGCCUCACAUGUAUGUGGCCUUGAACAGAAUUGAUGGAUAAUCACUAUUCAAGCACUCUGCUCCACAGUAUCUUGUCUUGGCACCUUAACAUAUGACGACACUAAUGUGAGUCCCAGACCUGUUCAAAAAUUACAAGCCCCCAGUUCUGUAGAAAUAUAAAUGAUGUACUAUCUUUUACUUUCAUUUGGCAAAGGAACUUGCAAUGCUUGAAGUAUUUUAUCAUUUUUUGUUGUUUUCCAUACUUACAACUAUCUGUGCAAAUGUUGGGCAUAUAAAAAGUGAAGAACAACAAAUUUUGACUGAAGACGUUGACGUGGAAUCUUCUGUGCCAAUAGGAGCAAAUAAACAAACAGGUGAAGAUGACACAAAGAUUCCAUAUUCGGUAUAUCAAGCCUUUGUACUGUUUAGGAAACAAACUUUUGUACAUGUCCUCCAAUUUUGUAUUGCACGUGUGCUCAGUUUGUUGUUUCCAAAUGUGUCAGAUCAGGUGUUUGAGUUUGGCUAAUUAGAGAAUCAAACUAACAUGCAAAGUUGAAGUUACAAGCAGUUAUAAAAUCAAAUCCAUUAUUACUUUGUUAGAAAUUCUACUUGAUUUUUUUGAAAUUUGUGAGCAGGGGUAAUUACAUUUAGAAUUUUGCAACAGCUUGAUUUAUCCUUAAAAUAGGAAAAAGCUUCUCAGUGCAGUCAAUAAGGAUUAUAAUGUGUAUCUUAUUGAAAGGGAAGUGCCCGUGGAACUAUAAAUACAUAAACCAUCAGGGAACAUGUUCAUGGUUUUCAUUUUUGUCAUGUUUAUUGCAUUUUCAAAUAAUGUAUCAUCUUCAUGAGGUGGUGUUGGCUAUUAUAUUUUGGAAAAUAUAGAUGAUCUUUACAUGUUUCUAAUAGUUGUAUGUUGAUGAGUUAUUUGGUGCAUUCAAAGUUCUUAGUAAAGCAGUUUAUGCUGCUCAAUUAUCCAUACAAUAAAACCUCCCUAUUUGGUAUACAAUAAAAUAUUCUCAUUCAGUCAUUCCUCGUCUGGAAUUCGUUGUUCCAUUAAUUAUUUGGUUGGUUGAGAGAAAACUCCACUGAAUCCAAUCUGUGCACUGAUUGCGGGAGUGCUACAUAAAAAUGUGUCUGAACAGAACAUAUGACAAGUUCCUGACAUGCACGUUAGGUUUAGCAUUUUUUCUUAACAAAUAUGUUAUUGUGCUUCCUAGCUCAUGUUUACAUACUUUAAAUUAACUUGUUUUCUUAAUGCUUUUGAAUUGCUUUGUUUUUUUAAAUAAUGGAAAAAUGUUCUGUUUAGGUUCGUUUUCUGGAGUGGCCUGAUGAUUUGGAGGGUUUUGUUCUAAAAGGCUAUGGUGAGUCUGUCAUUGCUCAAGGAUGUUGUCCAGUCAAUGGAAGAAACAAUCAAUAGCUAGAGAAGGUAGCUGCAUUCCAUGAUUUCAGUGAAUUUUGAUCUUUAGUAUGUGCUUCUUGGUAUAAAAUCACUUAUAGAUUCAUUCAUUUGAUCAAAACAGGACCCCACUAUCUAAUAUCUAUGACAUUCUAACAGAUAUUUGAGCAUAUUUACGAAUUAUUGUUGUAGAAUCACCUUACCUGACCUUUGUCAUAGCUACCAAGGAGCUUUCAAUUAGGCUUUAGCGGAAUAACAACAAAUUUAAAACACCUUUCCUGUACAACCUCCUCCCCAACACUAGGUCAACUGAUGAUGAUUUUCAAUCACAAUGAUAUAACAACCUAUGAGUUGCUUCACCCAAAAUUUGUGAGCACAAGUAUGUCUAUACUAGAUACUACAUAUAUGGACAGUGUGUAACUCAAACCAUAUCAGGCCACACUACAAAACAUCAUUGAGCGCAGAAACACGACAUGGUGCUAGGUCACAAGGUGAUGAAGACAUCCACACUACUGAUGCAUCUAUACCAAUACAAGUACCAAUUUCUGGUCCCAUUACUCGCGCUCGUGCUCGUCAACUCAACCAUCAGGUGAUUACACUCUUGAGUUCAUGUCCAUCAUAUUUAGACCAUGGAGACCCGUGCACUCUUGUUUUGCUUAGGAAUCAGGGAGAAGACCGAAAGGGAAAAGGAUUUGAACAUGCUGGAUUCGGACUGCAGAAGAACACCAACUUGUGACGGUCACCACGGUCAGAUGCGGGCUCGGAUUGGAAUGUUCAAGCACAACAUGGAAAGCUUAUCAAGUCUACUUUCAUAUGGAUCCGGAAUUAUAGUCAUAUCUGUUCUGAGGCCGCCGUAAUCAUUGUUUUCUUACCGAGACAUUUCCUGCCUUUUCUGCCUAUGGUGCUGCGUCACCCUAUUUUGGCCCAAUGGGUCGUAUAUCAAGUUAGGUCCAUUAGGGACGCAUCCUAGGGUUGCAGCACGACCCCAAUACCCUUGUGGUCGUCCUCCCAUGUUUAUAAACCCCCUAGCCGCCACCAAGAACAGCGGGUUUUGUUUAGAUCAAGUUUAGCUCUCGCUACUUGCUUGCAAGCGCGCGUGCUAGUUCAGCCGCCCGUCUUCUUGUCUUCGGAACCCCACCAUAUUGGAGUUUGAUUUUUAAACCUACAUUUGGAUCUGGUAAUUCAGUACUUGUUCUACUUGUUCUUGCUAGUUCUUCGAUUGCUUGCAGGACGAGUGCCCUAGUGGCCAGGGUGUCACGCUCCACAAGAUCGUGACAGCCAUAGGAGGUGGUGUAUCGGUUGCUAAGGCGCAGCGUCUUUGGAAGGCUGUAGUCGGGCCGUGAACGUCGUCUCCUCCCCCAAUCGAGUUAUUCCACACCCUCUCAUCGAAAGAUCGGGCAAUCACCCAACGGGUGCACAUCAGUUGGAGUUGUAGGUGGGCUGAAGCAAGGAAUACACUAGUACCACGUUAGUUACAAAAGCAAGCUGAAUAAUUGUUCAACGGUGGUACUGUGCUGGUCCUAGGCUAAACCAUGCUAGAGACAUGAGCCUAGGCACAAAGGUAGUCACUGAAAAAGAACAACUAGCACAGCACAAAGAGAAACAACAGAUUUAGAGAUUCAGCCCCCUUCUUCUUCUUUUCCUUUUUUUUCUUUUCUAUUCUUUUUUUUCUUCUAAGAAGAAUCCUAAUAACAUGCCACAAACUUGGGAUGCGUUGAAACGGGUCAUGCGGGCUAGAUUUGUUCCUUCUUAUUAUGCACGUGAUAUGUUAAACAAGUUGCAACAAUUGAGACAGGGUACUAAAAGUGUAGAAGAAUAUUAUCAGGAAUUACAAAUGGGUAUGUUGCGUUGUAACAUAGAGGAGGGUGAGGAAUCUGCUAUGGCUAGAUUUUUGGGCGGGUUAAAUAGGGAAAUUCAGGACAUCCUUGCUUAUAAAGAUUAUGCUAAUGUAACCCGAUUGUUUCAUCUUGCUUGCAAAGCUGAAAGGGAAGUGCAGGGACGACGUGCUAGUGCAAAGUCUAAUGUUUCUGCAGGAAAAUCUACACCAUGGCAACAGCGCACGACUACGUCCAUGACCGACCGUACACCAGCACCAACUCCCUCGCCAAGUCGACCAGCACCCACGCCUUCCUCCGGCGACAAACCACGUGCAUCUUCCACAAAUUCAGCAACCAAAUCUGCCCAGAAACCCGCAGGUAGUGCCUCUUCAGUAGCUUCCACAGGUAGAACAAGAGAUGUUCUGUGUUAUCGAUGCAAGGGCUAUGGACACGUGCAGCGUGAUUGUCCUAAUCAGCGUGUUUUGGUGGUAAAAGACGAUGGUGGGUAUUCCUCUGCUAGUGAUUUGGAUGAAGCUACACUUGCUUUGCUUGCGGCUGAUGAUGUAGGCACUAAGGAACCACCCGAAGAACAGAUUGGUGCAGAUGAUGCAGAGCAUUAUGAGAGCCUCAUUGUACAGCGUGUGCUUAGUGCACAAAUGGAGAAGGCAGAGCAGAAUCAGCGACAUACGUUGUUUCAAACAAAGUGUGUCAUUAAGGAGCGUUCAUGUCGUUUGAUCAUUGAUGGAGGUAGCUGCAACAACUUGGCUAGCAGCGACAUGGUGGAGAAGCUUGCACUUACGACCAAACCGCACCCGCAUCCAUAUCACAUUCAAUGGCUCAACAAUAGUGGUAAGGUCAAGGUAACCAAGCUGGUAUAAAUUAAUUUUGCUAUUGGUUCAUAUCGUGAUGUUGUUGACUGUGAUGUUGUGCCUAUGGAUGCUUGUAAUAUUCUGCUAGGUAGACCAUGGCAAUUUGAUUCAGAUUGUAUGCAUCAUGGUAGAUCAAAUCAAUAUUCUCUCAUACACCAUGAUAAGAAAAUUAUUUUGCUUCCCAUGUCCCCUGAGGCUAUUGUGCGUGAUGAUGUUGCUAAAGCUACCAAAGCUAAAACUGAGAACAACAAGAAUAUUAAAGCUGUUGGUAAUAACAAAGAUGGGAUAAAAUUGAAAGGACAUUGCUUGCUUGCAACAAAAACUGAUGUUAAUGAAUUAUUUGCUUCCACUACUGUUGCCUACGCCUUGGUAUGCAAAGAUGCUUUGAUUUCAAUUCAAGAUAUGCAGCAUUCUUUGCCUCCUGUUAUUACUAACAUUUUGCAGGAGUAUUCUGAUGUAUUUCCAAGUGAGAUACCAGAGGGGCUGCCACCUAUACGAGGGAUUGAACACCAAAUUGAUCUUAUUCCUGGUGCAUCUGUGCCGAAUCGUGCGCCAUAUAGGACAAAUCCAGAGGAAACAAAAGAAAUUCAGCGACAAGUGCAAGAACUACUCGACAAAGGUUACGUGCAUGAGUCUCUUAGUCCGUGUGCUGUUCCGGUUAUUUUAGUGCCUAAAAAAGAUGGAACAUGGCGUAUGUGUGUUGAUUGUAGGGCUAUUAAUAAUAUCACGAUACAGUAUCGACACCCUAUUCCACGUUUAGAUGAUAUGCUUGAUGAAUUGAGUGAUGCCAUUGUCUUUUCUAAAGUUGAUUUGCGUAGUGGGUACCACCAGAUUCGUAUGAAAUUGGGAGAUGAAUGGAAAACUGCUUUCAAAACUAAGUUCGGAUUGUAUGAGUGGUUAGUCAUGCCUUUUGGGUUAACUAAUGCACCUAGCACUUUCAUGAGAUUAAUGAACGAGGUUUUGCGUGCCUUCAUUGGAAAAUUUGUGGUAGUAUACUUUGAUGACAUAUUGAUCUACAGCAAAUCUAUGGAUGAACAUGUUGAUCACAUGCGUGCUGUUUUUAAUGCUUUACGAGAUGCACGUUUAUUUGGUAACCUUGAGAAGUGCACAUUUUGCACCGAUCGAGUUUCGUUUCUUGGUUAUGUUGUGACUCCACAGGGAAUUGAGGUUGAUCAAGCCAAGGUAGAAGCGAUACAUGGAUGGCCUAUGCCAAAGACUAUCACACAGGUGCGGAGUUUCCUAGGACUUGCUGGCUUCUAUCGCCGUUUUGUGAAGGACUUUAGCACCAUUGCUGCACCUUUUAAUGAGCUUACGAAGAAGGGAGUGCAUUUUAGUUGGGGCAAAGUACAAGAGCACGCUUUCAACGUGCUGAAAGAUAAGUUGACACAUGCACCUCUCCUCCAACUUCCUGAUUUUAAUAAGACUUUUGAGCUUGAAUGUGAUGCUAGUGGAAUUGGAUUGGGUGGUGUUUUGUUACAAGAAGGCAAACCUGUUGCAUAUUUUAGUGAAAAAUUGAGUGGGUCUGUUCUAAAUUAUUCUACUUAUGAUAAGGAAUUAUAUGCUCUUGUGCGAACAUUAGAAACAUGGCAGCAUUAUUUGUGGCCCAAAGAGUUUGUUAUUCAUUCUGAUCAUGAAUCUUUGAAACAUAUUCGUAGUCAAGGAAAACUGAACCGUAGACAUGCUAAGUGGGUUGAAUUUAUCGAAUCGUUUCCUUAUGUUAUUAAGCACAAGAAAGGAAAAGAGAAUAUCAUUGCUGACGCUUUGUCUAGGAGAUAUACUUUGCUGAAUCAACUUGACUACAAAAUCUUUGGAUUAAAGACGAUUAAAGACCAAUAUGUUCAUGAUGCUGAUUUUAAAGAUGUGUUGCUGCAUUGUAAAGAUGGGAAAGGAUGGAACAAAUAUAUCGUUAGUGAUGGGUUUGUGUUUAGAGCUAACAAGCUAUGCAUUCCAGCUAGCUCCGUUCGUUUGUUGUUGUUACAGGAAGCACAUGGAGGUGGCUUAAUGGGACAUUUUGGAGCAAAGAAAACGGAGGACAUACUUGCUGGUCAUUUCUUUUGGCCCAAGAUGAGAAGAGAUGUGGUGAGAUUGGUUGCUCGUUGCACGACAUGCCAAAAGGCGAAGUCACGGUUAAAUCCACACGGUUUGUAUUUGCCUCUACCCGUUCCUAGUGCUCCUUGGGAAGAUAUUUCUAUGGAUUUUGUGCUGGGAUUGCCUAGGACUAGGAAGGGACGUGAUAGUGUGUUUGUGGUUGUUGAUAGAUUUUCUAAGAUGGCACAUUUCAUACCAUGUCAUAAAACUGACGAUGCUACUCAUAUUGCUGAUUUGUUCUUUCGUGAAAUUGUUCGCUUGCAUGGUGUGCCCAACACAAUCGUUUCUGAUCGUGAUGCUAAAUUUCUUAGUCAUUUUUGGAGGACUUUGUGGGCAAAAUUGGGGACUAAGCUUUUAUUUUCUACUACAUGUCAUCCUCAAACUGAUGGUCAAACUGAAGUUGUGAAUAGAACUUUGUCUACUAUGUUAAGGGCAGUUCUAAAGAAGAAUAUUAAGAUGUGGGAGGACUGUUUGCCUCAUGUUGAAUUUGCUUAUAAUCGAUCAUUGCAUUCUACUACAAAGAUGUGCCCAUUUCAGAUUGUAUAUGGUUUGUUGCCUCGUGCUCCUAUUGAUUUAAUGCCUUUGCCAUCUUCUGAAAAACUAAAUUUUGAUGCUACUAGGCGUGCUGAAUUGAUGUUAAAACUGCAUGAAACUACUAAAGAAAACAUAGAGCGUAUGAAUGCUAGAUAUAAGUUUGCUAGUGAUAAAGGUAGAAAGGAAAUAAAUUUUGAACCUGGAGAUUUAGUUUGGUUGCAUUUGAGAAAGGAAAGGUUUCCUGAAUUACGAAAAUCUAAAUUGUUGCCUCGAGCCGAUGGACCGUUUAAAGUGCUAGAGAAAAUUAACGACAAUGCAUAUAGGCUAGAUCUGCCUGCAGACUUUGGGGUUAGCCCCACAUUUAACAUUGCAGAUUUAAAGCCCUACUUGGGAGAGGAAGUUGAGCUUGAGUCGAGGACGACUCAAAUGCAAGAAGGGGAGAAUGAUGAAGACAUCCACACUACUGAUGCAUCUAUACCAAUACAAGUACCAAUUUCUGGUCCCAUUACUCGCGCUCGUGCUCGUCAACUCAACCAUCAGGUGAUUACACUCUUGAGUUCAUGUCCAUCAUAUUUAGACCAUGGAGACCCGUGCACUCUUGUUUUGCUUAGGAAUCAGGGAGAAGACCGAAAGGGAAAAGGAUUUGAACAUGCUGGAUUCGGACUGCAGAAGAACACCAACUUGUGACGGUCACCACGGUCAGAUGCGGGCUCGGAUUGGAAUGUUCAAGCACAACAUGGAAAGCUUAUCAAGUCUACUUUCAUAUGGAUCCGGAAUUAUAGUCAUAUCUGUUCUGAGGCCGCCGUAAUCAUUGUUUUCUUACCGAGACAUUUCCUGCCUUUUCUGCCUAUGGUGCUGCGUCACCCUAUUUUGGCCCAAUGGGUCGUAUAUCAAGUUAGGUCCAUUAGGGACGCAUCCUAGGGUUGCAGCACGACCCCAAUACCCUUGUGGUCGUCCUCCCAUGUUUAUAAACCCCCUAGCCGCCACCAAGAACAGCGGGUUUUGUUUAGAUCAAGUUUAGCUCUCGCUACUUGCUUGCAAGCGCGCGUGCUAGUUCAGCCGCCCGUCUUCUUGUCUUCGGAACCCCACCAUAUUGGAGUUUGAUUUUUAAACCUACAUUUAGAUCUGGUAAUUCAGUACUUGUUCUACUUGUUCUUGCUAGUUCUUCGAUUGCUUGCAGGACGAGUGCCCUAGUGGCCAGGGUGUCACGCUCCACAAGAUCGUGACAGCCAUAGGAGGUGGUGUAUCGGUUGCUAAGGCGCAGCGUCUUUGGAAGGCUGUAGUCGGGCCGUGAACGUCGUCUCCUCCCCCAAUCGAGUUAUUCCACACCCUCUCAUCGAAAGAUCGGGCAAUCACCCAACGGGUGCACAUCACAAGGAAUUCUCCUGGUUCUAUGCCUGCUGCUGAACUAUCAUUUUGCUACUCUCCACCUUGUACUAGGCCUUCGGCUCUAAAUCGAUGAACUGACUCCAAAUUUUGCUAGCUCUAAAUGAUUAAUAGCCUAGACUGGUGCAAAACUAAAACCUUACUGUGGCAGUGAAAGGCAUUCUGUUAGGGUGGAAUAUUAUUUUGAUCAUUAAUUAUGUGUUAGUUUUGGUAGGUGUCAUGCAGAGGAGCAUAAUACGACACAGAAGGACAUGCAUCCUGCCAUCACAACACAGAAGCAUGUGUUCCAAUCUGCGGUUACGUGCAAUAACUGUAACCUUCUAGGGUAAAAUAAACCAGCAACACUAAUAAUAUAGCCGCACGCAUGCACUAGUUCCAUUUUUUGUUGGAAUCAGAUGCAUUUAUUAUUUAAGGGUGUUUGUUUGGGAUUAUAAUCUGCCCAGAUUAUAUAAUCCAACAAUUUUUAAAUAGUUCAAAAAUUGUUGGAUUAUAUAAUCUGGGCAGAUUAUAAUCCCAAACAAACACCCCUUAUUGGUGUACAGAGUAUCACUUUAAUAAUUGUUGCAGAUUUCAUUCUUCCAAUGUUUUGUUUAUAGUGGACAGUAACUAUGCUCCCUUUUUUCUACAGCCACUUUGCAGCAGAGUGCACCUCAAAAGCAAUUUGCUAGAACUGCAAAGAGCCUGAGCACAUUGCUACCGAGUGCAAGGAUGAGGCACUGUGCCACACCUGCAUCAAAAUAGGUCACUUGGCAUGCGAUUGCUCUACUUCAUGGGCUAACAUUUGAUAGUUAGAGAUUUUGUCGCGCGGUUUGGCAUUUGUCAUAGUUUGGGAUAUUUCUAUAUAUUAAAGCUGGACACAAAGCUUACACCAUAUGUGUCCACGUCGUCUUCUAUUUUCCAGAACGCACGAUCACAUUUCAACGGCAGAAAACGUUUUGUGUUUCCUUUGCCGUAGCUGUCACCGGCUGAACGUGCGACUCAGUCAUGGAGUAUUCUGGAACCCGAGCAUCGCUUCCUCUGCUACAAAGAAAGAAAGAAAAAAGUCCCCUUCUCUACGCUACGACAAAGUGAUAUGGCCCGUGGUGAAGGACAGAAGGAAGGCAACGACAUCGAUGCCGACGCUCGCCCUACCGUGUCCUCAUCCAUGGGCCUCCUCGGACUGUCUCCGUUGGUGCCUGCCGCCAGCUGCGGCGAGUUCGCCGGCUCCCAAGUGGCGUUACUCAGUGUCGGAGUCGGACCCAGCAUCCGCGAUGAAGAACAUCAAUUCCAAGAAUGUGAAGGCGACCACAACGGUAAAAGACCUUCAAGUCUACUGUCCAGGUGCGUGCACUCUGUCUGUGCUCGAGCUCGAAUCGUUUUCUAGGACAUCUCGGUACUAAUUUCAUUCUAUCAAUGUCUAUCCAAUUAGAAGAGCAGAUGGUCCAUAUUUAUUUAUAUAUAUUAAAAAUUAUUAUCAAAUAAAUAAAGUUACUCUGUUUGUGCUAAGGUAGCUGCUGAUUCAGGAUUCAUCACUCAUUGUUAUAGUACACGCGCAAGGCACGCGGACUUUACUAGUUUCUAUAUAUUAAACGCGACCGCAAAGCUCACUCCUCGAACUGUCCACGUUAGUGUUUUUAAUUUCAGCCGUUCGAUUCUCGUCCAACGACUACAGCCAUAUUUCAGCCAGCGUACAGAUACGGAUGCCUUUUCGGCUCCUCCAAGCGACGGGAGAGUUCUGGAGGUUGCGACGAGGAGCCUCCGUCACACUCGACGAAAGCCAAAGCAAGUGUAGCCGCAAGGAUGCGCUGAUGCGCCGUCUGCUGCUGCUGGUGGCUGGUUCCACCCUGGCGUCGCGGCUGCGGGCGUCUUCCAAGUGCGCCACAAGUUCCCCGCCGGAGUUGAAGGGGGCGCCGGUGCCAACACCAACGCCCUUCGUGCCCACGACGGCCGCCGCCACAGCUGUCGACCUCCCGCUCGGCGGCCUCGACCUCCCCACUAACACAAGGUACAUGUCGGCCCUCGCUAGCUUCUUUAUUUUUUUCAGACUUGAUUUAGCUUCUUUACUUUGGAAGAUUUAUCUGUGGGUGUCCUUGAUUUGGUUGGGGGCUUUUUCGUCGCUGUAGAAAUGUAUGCAUGUUCUUAGAAUAUGCACCUUCCAUUCUACAUUUCUACUACGUAAAUUACCAUGUAAAUGGAUGACCGAUCGUUUACUGAGAAGGAAAAUAAGCAAGAGUAUUUUGCUUACAUAAAUUACCAUACGGAAUUACGGAUGGCCGUUAGCUAAUCUAAAGUAAGAGUAUUUUGCUCUUCUUUUUGUGCACCUUUUUCUCCCCUCUCAGGUGUUUGGAUGGAUGCAUGAUGCAUCCCUCUUUCUUGCCACCCUCCUACAUGUCGGUCCACUGUUUUUCAGAGUUCACUCUUUUGAAAAAAGGUAUAAUCAACGUAUUCCUCUACACUUUUUCAUCCAUGCAACUUUUUUAAUGUAUGUACGUGCUAUGCAUAUUAUCAAUAUAAUAAUAAGUAGAACUUAAAUGCAUCUAAUACACAUAAGAAAACUUUCAGCUUUAAGUUGGUCCAUUGUACAGAAACGACACAACUAAUUUUUCAGAGUUCAUCCUUUUGAAAAAAGGUAUAAUCAAAAUAUUCCUCUAUACCUUUUCAUCCAUGCACUUUUUUAGAGAUCCAACACUUAUAAAAAUACCAUAUAAUUUAAAAAUGAGUAUAUUUUAUAGAAUUUAGGGCACCAACAAAACAUUCUGUUCCAACAGUAAAGUCUCAAGUCUAGAUUAUAGGGCAGCCCACUCUAGUGUAAUAUAUUUGAGACACUUGAGAGAGUGUCCUAUAAUUUUUUGACCAAUUUUUAUAAAAUGAGACACUGUUCAAGUAGUUUUUCCUACAUAAAGUCUCAUAUUUCAAUUUGAGUCAUUGUUGGAGAUGGUCUUAGUGUCUGUACGUGCUAUACAUAUUAUCAAUAAUAAUAAUAAUAAUAAUAAUAAUAAUAACAACAACAAUAAUAAUAAUAAUAAUAAUAAUAAUAAUAAUAAUAAUAAUAAUAAUAAUAAUAAUAAUAAUUUGAACCCAAAUGCAUCUAAUACACAUAAAAUAAUAUCAGCUUUAAUUGUACUACACUUAAGAUCGUUGACCUGCAACUUUGGAUGUUGUCUCUGUGUGUAUAUUUAUGUGUAUACGCAUCAUUGUCUUCCUUUGUUCCCACUCUACCUCAAGAUAAAUAUCACAAAUCUAAUUUGGUCCUUCUUAGUUGUGUAGCUUCAGAAACUCAUUACAUUUUUUUCGAACUUAUCGUUAUUUUAUAGUCACUAAGAUCAUUAUUUAUGGCUUUGGUGCAUGUAUAUAUCCACUUCUCUACGUGUAUGUAUUCAUAUAUAAUUUUACUUCUGUAUAUCUACUACAUAGAUCUUUUAACUGUGCAGACAUAUCGAUCAAAUACUCGCGCUCGCGUUGGCGCGAGUUAGUUACUAGUUUCCAAAAUACUACAGAAAAAGACAAGAUAAUAUGCGUGUCGUUAUUUUGUUUGUGAUUGCCUUCCUUUAUCUGAAUAUUUCGCAUUAAUAAUAAAUGGUUCCCUUUAAUGUACAAUACAAUUUGAGAUGAUCUUGUACAUUAGUGAUUGGUACGGCGCUCGAUAGGGCGCACCCUUUUCUAGUAUAAUAAUAAAGACAUGUACAUUCGAAAGCUCUUAGUUGACAUGAAAUAAUAUCAUAUAUAAAAUUCGGAAAUGAUCAACCCAUUUGAUAGACACGCUGUUUAUCUAUUUAUAGGGAUCGAGCUCCUAAUCUCAUAUACAAUUAUAGUAAUGCUUCACUACAUUUCCGAUUUUUCACUAUACAGUCAUGCCGCACACGUCUUCCGUCUUCUCUAGCUCAAGGAUUUUUUUGAACGCCGCUUUUAAACAAAGGUCCUUGCAAUUCUUUUAUACAUAAUCUAUAACUAGCUGAAUGCCCGUGCGUUGCAACGGGAAUAUAUAAUAUCAGUAUAUUACGAUAACUUAUAUACAAAAUGUGUGUUAUAUUGUUAUGAGAAAAUGUUUCAUAAUCAAUUUGUGAUCCUAGCCAUAUAUAAAUUUGGUUAUUUUAAUCUAGUUAUUUUACCACUACAUUGCAACCAUCAGUAUCAUGCAGACUUCGAUAUAUGCCACGAUUUGUAUGGUCUCAUCAUUGGAGAGCACGUUCCACACAUGCCGGAAAAAUUCUCUCGUACAUCAUUAGUCAUCAGACACGCACCACCAUAUGCUCUUGCUUAAACAAAAAGGUAAGUGUGUAUGUGUUUGCGAAGAGAAUUAAAGGCAGGCCGACACAAAAGCUACCCUGACGGUGGCGAGGAUGACGAACUGGUCACUGUUGUCGAUCCUCCUCUGUGUCACCUCCGGCGCCAAGAUGACGCCACAAUCCUUGAUAUAGUAGUCAUCGAACGCACGCGACAUGACGAGUACCGAUGACUCUUGGUUGGGCUGCCAAACGAAGUGCACCCCGGUCUCAUCAGCGAGGUAGUACCCCUGGCCGUUGCACCACCAAAUGCGCUAUUCCACUACAUACAUCAUGUUCGAGGACACUCACACAACGUCAGCAACGUCCAUCUUCCCAGCGCACAAGAAUUCAUGUCCGGUCAGUAGCGACUUACGUGGCAGGUUGGGCUUUAGGUGGACGAUGAGCUGGACGGCGUGAUGGCGUCGUCGUCGGAUGCGGUGUCCAGAACAACCCGAGAGUCAUCGAUGUUGGCGACAACCAUGAGCCCCCCCUGCUUAACGAUGGACAACGUGGUGCAGCUGCUCUGGACCGCGUCCAAGCGACGGCUUCGCGGGAACUUGUCGUACACAGCAGCGCAUGCGACCACGUAAGACUGCUUUUAGAGAUCGAACUGACAGUCGCCAAGCUUCUUCUCGUCAUCGAUGAGCGAUGACAACGCGAGUGCCUCCUGCUCAUGGAGUUUGUUCGGGGUUUGAAGUAGGAAACAUGGAUUCAUGCUUGGCGUUGGUUUAUGAAAAUGACUCACAAGUCUGAUCCAUGGAAAAAAAUAUUACGAAGAAAAAAUGUCACACAUGCAAAAAAAGGGAAUUUAAGUAUAAUGCAUUAUUCAAACAAAAGAAAUAGCAUGCAAACUCUUCUUUAAAUAAUAUUACCUCCAUCCAAAAAUAUAAUUCAAGAAUCUCGGUGAUACUUAUCUACUACUACGCAUUGUACAAUGGUAGCAUGUGAGCUUGGAGAGAGAUGUAGUAGAUGUGUUUCCUGUCAUAGAUGUAGACAUAAACACAUAUAGGUGGGUGCCCGUCCGUUGCAACAGAAAUAUUUAAUAUCAUGAUAACUUAUGAACAAAUGUGUGUUAUACUGUUAUGUGAAAAUGUUUCGUAACUAAUUUGUGAUCCUAGCUAUACAUAAAAUUUGUUAUUUCAAUCUAACUAUUUCAUCAUUACAUUGCAACCAACAGUACCGUGCAGACUUCUAUACAUGAUAGCUGAAUGCCCGUGCGUUGCAACGGGAAUAUAUAAUACCAGUAUACUACGAUAACUUAUAUACAAAAUAUGUGUUAUACCGUUAUGAGAAAAUGUUUCAUAAUCAAUUUGUGAUUCUGGCCAUACAUAAAUUUUGUUAUUUAUAAUCUAUCUGUUUCAUCACUACAUUGCAACCAUCAGUAUCAUGCAGACUUCGAUAUAUGUCUCAAUUUGCAUGGUCUCAUUAUUGUAGAGCACGUUUCACACAUACCGGAAGAAAUUCCCUCGUACAUCGUUAGUCAUCGGACAUGUACCACCAUACGCUUUUGCUUAAACAAAAAGGUAAGUGUGUGUUUGCAAGACUAAUGGUCAAACAUCGUAUAACCAUAAAGUUAGAAUACUAUAUUAAUAUAUUAAAUAAAUUAAUCCAAUAGACAUAGAUUAACCCAAUUAACAUAGGAUAAAUAAAUAUCUAAUUAUAAAAGUAUGAAACAUGAUAUAAUCAAUGUUGUUACUGCGUAGUAAAUAUUCAUACGAGACUAACACAACUGGAACGGUUCAAUUUGGAAUUAAAAUGGGGAAGUUACGAAUUUCCAAAGUUUCUAUGUAUUUGAUAUAGGAUUAAUUAGGAAAUCAAUUUUAUUGUUGUUUUCAUGACAAAACAGAGGUAUUAUGUGAUAAAAAUAAUAUUAUAGAAUUAUAGAAAUUGGAAUGAACUCAUUUGGAUUUAAUAUAAAAUUUCCAUGAAUUAAAUGGGUUUCUGUAAUUAUUUUUAAACUAAAAAUCAAUCUGCAAUUAUUUUUAAACUAAAAAUCAAUUUCUAAAUUCCUUUUCCCUAUUUUCUUUAUUUCCUGGACUGCGUCCCAAAUUCCAGAAAGAUCAGGGGCUAAGCUAUAAAUGUUUUUCUAGACUCAGUGAGCAUACAGAGUGGACGGCGGGUUAAACACAAAAGAUGUCUUAGUUGAAGUUGUACACAAUUAACAUGAGUCAUGUUGGCUAGAGGGUGGAAGGCUAGGUAUUCUGCUCAAUAGAUCCAAGGUUCGAUUCUUGAGCAGCCAUGGUUUAAUUUUUUUUCUGCGCGCGAAACGGAGGAGGGCAGAACGGCAGACUACUAUUGCUUACUUAAUAGAUAGUAGAGAUUUUCGGAUCUAAACAUUUAAAAAAACUCCGAUAGACAAAGUCAAAAAUCUGACAAAAUCUAAUAUAUGUGUUGACACCUUUUUAGGGCGCCAAUCACUCAACACGAACCAGCGGCGGUGCUCUCUGCACAGGGGCGGACGGUCCGCGGCCAGGGGCCGGACGGUCCACGGCCUGGCGCGAGGUUAGGGUUCCUGCCUGACGGCCGGCGGUCCACGCGUGCGCAGGGGCGGCGGAAGAUCGCCGGCAGCGCCUGGAUCUCGCUCCCGGGAGGGACCCCGUCGGGGAGGAGAGAUCCUAGGUGAUGUCUAGGCUCGGGCAGACCGACCUAGACUCCUCUAAUCGACAUAGAGUCGAAUAGAAGCGGAGAAUUUGGGGAUUGAGAGGCUAAACUAGAAUUAGACUAGAAUUACUCCUAAUUGUACAAGAAAUAAAUACGAAAUACAAGUGUUGUUGAUUCGAUUGAUAAUUCCAAAUCGGCAGUAUAUCUCUCUAUUUAUAGAGGAGGGGGUUGAACCCUUUACAAACUAAUUUCCGAGCUAAUUUCGUGAAUCUAGCUAACAACCGUAGCACAAAACUCGGAACCCUAAACCGCUCUGCGCACGUGCGGACCGUCCGGCCCACAGGCGCGGACCGUCCGUACCGCGGAUCGUCCGGUCUCAGGGUCGGACCGUCCGCCAGCUCAAUCUAGUGCUGAACAUAUGCCCCCUGCCUUUUGGUGGAGCUGAGCAAACCAAAAGCAACUAACUCGAUGUGAUUACAUCGGUUCUCUUAGGCAUCUUGCCACAUACUAGGAUGGUACUGUUUGAGGAAACGCCCAUUCAAAGCCUUGAGUAAAUCCUUGCCUUGUAAUGUUUGUAGUAAAUAGGCAUUACCAGACAUUACCUGUUUUACUUUAUAAGGACCCUCCCAGCUCGGCGACCAUUUCCCAAACUUUCGGUCUUUAUUCCUUAGAGGCAGGAUGGUCUUCCACACCAGGUCCCCUACUUGAAAUGACUUUGCUUUGACCUUCUUGUUGUAGGCCCUGGCUACCAUGAUCUUGUUUCUAUUGCUCCCAAAGCUAUCACCCUCUUGUCGAUCACCUCAUCAAUAUUAUCCAUCAUUGAAUUAUAAUAAUCAAUGACGGUUAGAUCAUUUUGUCUGGCGAACCUGACAGCAUUUAAACUUAUUUCCACAGGCAACACUGCUUGAGAGCACCUAGAGGGGGGGUGAAUAGGUGAUCCUGUAAAACUUAAAACUUUAGCCACAAAACUUGGUUAAGUGUUAGCACAAUAAUCGCCAAGUGGCUAGAGGAGAGUCUCAACACAACACAAUAACCACAAAGAUAUCAAUCACAGAGAUGGCACGGUGGUUAUCCCGUGGUUCGGCCAAGACCAACGCUUGCCUACUCCACGUUGUGGCGUCCCAACGGACGAGGGUUGCAAUCAACCCCUCUCAAGCGGUCCAAAGACCCACUUGAAUACCACGGUGUUGCUUUGCUUUUCUUAAUCCCGUUUGCGAGGAAUCUCCACAACUUGGAGCCUCUCGCCCUUACAAAAGAUGUUCACAAAGAAGCACUGAGCAAGGGAGGGAUUAGCAACUCACACAAGACACAAAGAUCACAGCAAAUACGCACACACAAAACCCAGACUUGAGCUCAAGAGACUAGCACACUAGAACGGAGCUCAAAUCACUAGAAUGUCGAACAAGUGCGCAAGAUUGAUGUGUGAGUGAUCAAGAGUGCUCAAGGAAUGCUUGGUAUUCUCCUCCAUGCGCCUAGGGGUCCCUUUUAUAGCCCCAAGGCAGCUAGGAGCCGUUGAGAGAAAUUCUGGAAGGCCAUUCUUGCCUUCUGUCGUCUGGCGCACCGGACACUGUCCGGUGCCCGAUUUCUUUCCUUCUACGGCGAAGUCGACCGUUGGCAGCUAGAGAGCCGUUGGCGCACCGGACAUGUCCGGUGCACACCAGACAAUCCGGUGCCCCCUUCCGACCGUUGGCUCGGCCACGUGUCCCGCGCAGAUCGCGCGGCCGACCGUUGGCCCGGCCGACCGUUGGCUCACCGGACAGUCCGGUGCACACCGGACAGUCCAGUGAAUUAUAGCCGUACGUCGCCGGUGAAAUCCCGAGAGCGGCCAGUUCGCCCGAGCCAGUCUGGCGCACCGGACACUGUCUGGUGCACCACCGGACAGUCCGGUGCUUCCAGACUGAGCAGACUUCGGCUGAACAAGGCCAUCUCAUUUCCAAUUCGAUUUUUCCUGUUUCCAGCACUUAGACACAAUACAUUAGUACAUAAAACAAUGUACUAAGUCUAGAAACAUACCUUUGUUCUUGAUUUGUACUUUGUCCACCAUUUUACACUUAGGCACUUGUGUUGGCCACUAAAUCACCAAAAUACUUAGAAAUGGCCCCAAGGGCACAUUUCCCUUUCAAUCUCCCCCUUUUUGGUGAUUUAUGCCAACACAACAUAAAGCAAGUAGAACAAGUACAAACUCAAUUCAAAUAAGAACUCAAAUUUGUUUUGAUUCAUAUUUGGCAUAUAUGGAUCACUGUUUGCCACCACUUGGUUUGUUUUUGCAAAUCAAACUCAAAUUUCUAUCUCUAAGUCAAACACACAUGUUAAGACAUAAAGAGAGUCAUUCCAAAAGAAAUUGAUUCAAGAUUUCAAAAACUCCCCUUUUUCCCAUAAUCAGCACUUCUCCCCACAAGAAGCCAACUUUUGACAAGAGAGACAAUAAAAGAGUUUUGACAAAUCAAAAGCUCUAUGACAAAUCAAAAGCUCUAUUCUACUAUUUUCAAAAUCUCUCAAGUGGUAGCUGAUCCAUUUAUCGCUUUGGCCUUUAUUUUCUCCCCCUUUGGCAUCAAGCACCAAAACGGGAUCAAUCUUGGCCCUUUAAUCCCAUUGCCUCACCAAAAUCUUCAACGAAGAGCAAAUAGGCAAUAAGAGUAUAAAGAUGAACUUGGAAAAGUUACUCUUUUCAUUGGAGUGCAGUGGAAGUCUUGCAUGGUCCAAGUCCACCUUUUCCCUUUCAAUUCUCCUUCGAGACUAAAUCAAGCAAACUCAAGCACAUGGUUAGUCUCAAAGGGUCAAGUUGUAACACACCUCCCCCUAAAUAUCUGCAUCACUUGCAUAAGGACUUGUGAGGUCCGGGGAGUGUUUGUACAACUUGAGCACUAUAAUAAGCAACAAAAUGCAGAAAGAACAUGAUCAAAGGCAUAAACACAUGUAUGCUACAAUUCAAUCCAAGUUCCGCGAAUCUAAGACAUUUAGCUCACUACGCAGCCUGCAAAAGGUCUUCUCAUCUAGAGGCUUGGUAAAGAUAUCGGCUAGCUGGUUCUCGGUGCUAACAUGAAACACUUCGAUAUCUCCCUUUUGCUGGUGGUCUCUCAAAAAGUGAUGCCGGAUGUCAGUGUGCUUUGUGCGGCUGUGCUCAACAGGAUUUUCCGCCAUGCGGAUAGCACUCUCAUUAUCACAUAGGAGUGGGACUUUGCUCAGAUUGUAGCCAAAGUCCCUGAGGGUUUGCCUCAUCCAAAGUAGUUGCGCGCAACACUGUCCUGUGGCAACGUACUCGGCCUCAGCGGUGGAUAGGGCAACGAAAGUUUGUUUCUUAGAGUUCCACGACACCAGGGACCUUCCUAAGAAUUGGCACGUCCCCGAUGUACUCUUCCUAUCGACCUUACAUCCGGCAUAGUCGGAAUCUGAGUAUCCAAUCAAGUCAAAGUUAGACCCCUUAGGAUACCAGAUCCCGAAGCAAGGCGUAGCGACUAAAUAUCUAAGUAUUCGCUUCACUGCCACUAAGUGACACUCCUUAGGAUCGGAUUGAAAUCUAGCGCACAUGCAUACGCUAAGCAUAAUAUCCGGUCUACUAGCACAUAAAUAAAGUAAAGACCCUAUCAUUGACCGGUAUGCUUUUUGAUCAACAGACUUACCUCCUUUGUUGAGGUCGGUGUGUCCGUCGGUUCCCAUCAGAGUCUUUGCGGGCUUGGCGUCCUUCAUCCCAAACCUCUUUAGCAAGUCUUGUGUGUACUUCGUUUGGGAGAUGAAGGUGCAGUCCUUGAGUUGCUUCACUUGGAACCCAAGGAAGUAUUUCAACUCGCCCAUCAUUGACAUCUCGAAUUUCUGCGUCAUCACCCUGCUAAACUCUUCACAAGACUUUUGGUUAGUAGAACCAAAUAUUAUGUCAUCGACAUAAAUUUGGCACACAAACAAAUCACCAUCACAAGUCUUAGUAAAAAGAGUUGGAUCGGCUUUCCCAACCUUGAAAGCGUUAGCAAUUAAAAAGUCUCUAAGGCAUUCAUACCAUGCUCUUGGGGCUUGCUUAAGUCCAUAGAGCGCCUUAGAGAGCUUACACACGUGGUCGGGGUAUCAUUCAUCCUUGAAGCCAGGGAGUUGCUCCACGUACACCUCCUCCUUGAUUGGCCCGUUGAGGAAAGCGCUCUUCACAUCCAUUUGGAACAACCUGAAAGAAUGGUGAGCGACAUAUGCUAGCAAGAUACGAAUAGACUCUAGCCUAGCCACAGGGGCAAAAGUCUCCUCAAAGUCCAAACCUGCGACUUGGGCAUAACCUUUUGCCACAAGUCGAGCCUUGUUUCUUGUCACCACCCCGUGCUCGUCUUGUUUGUUGCGGAACACCCACUUGGUUCCCACAACAUUUUGCUUAGGACGAGGCACCAGCGUCCAAACUUCAUUUCUCUUGAAGUUGUUGAGCUCCUCCUGCAUGGCCAACACCCAGUCCGGAUCUAGCAAGGCCUCCUCUACCCUGAAAGGCUCAAUAGAAGAGACAAAGGAGUAAUGCUCACAAAAAUUUACUAAUCGAGAUCGAGUAGUUACUCCCUUGCUAAUGUCACCCAAAAUUUGGUCGACGGGAUGAUCCCUUUGAAUCAUCGCUCGGACUUGAGUUGGAGGUGGCGGUUGUGCUUCUUCCUCCAUCACAUGAUCAUCUUGUGCUCCCCCUUGCUCACACGCCUCCUUUUGAUGAACCUGUUCAUCGUCUUGAGUUGGGGGAUGCACCAUUGUUGAGGAAGAAGGUUGAUCUUGCUCAUCUUGUUCCUGUGGCCGCACAUCUCCAAUCACCAUGGUGCGUAUUGCGGCCGUUGCAAUGUCUUCUUCAUCUACAUCAUCAAGAUCAACAACUUGCUCUCUUGGAGAGCCAUUAGUCUAAUCAAAUACAACGUCGCUAGAGACUUCAACCAAACCUGAUGAUUUGUUGAAGACUCUAUACGCCUUUGUAUUUGAGUCAUAACCUAACAAAAACCCUUCUACAGCUUUGGGAGCAAACUUAGAAUUUCUACCCUUCUUCACUAAAAUGUAGCAUUUGCUCCCAAAUACACGAAAGUAAGAUACAUUGGGUUUGUUACCGGUUAGUAGCUCAUAUGACGUCUUCUUGAGGAGGCGAUGAAGGUAGACCCUGUUGAUGGCGUGGCAAGCCGUGUUCACGGCUUCCGACCAAAAGCACUCGGGGGUCUUGAAUUCUCCAAGCAUCGUCCUCGCCAUAUCUAUGAGUGUCCUGUUCUUCCUCUCUACCACACCAUUUUGUUGUGGUGUGUAGGGAGCAGAGAACUCGUGCUUGAUCCCCUCCUCCUCAAGGAACUCCUCCACUUGAAGGUUCUUGAACUCGGACCUGUUGUCGCUUCUUAUCUUCUUUACCUUGAGCUCAAACUCAUUUUGAGCUCUCCUUAGGAAGCGCUUGAGGGUCCCUUGGGUUUCAGACUUAUCCUGCAAAAAGAACACCCAAGUGAAGCGGGAAAAGUCAUCAACAAUAACUAGACCAUACUUACUUCCUCCUAUGCUUAGAUAGGCUACGGGUCCGAAGAGGUCCAUAUGUAGCAGCUCCAGGGGUCUUGAAGUGGUCAUCACAUUCUUGCUGUGAUGCGCUCCUCCCACUUGUUUACCUGCUUGACAAGCUGCACAUGGUCUAUCUUUUUCGAAUUGCACGUUAGUCAAACCUAUCACGUGUUCUCCCUUUAGAAGCUUGUGAAGGUUCUUCAUCCCCACAUGUGCUAAGCGGCGAUGCCACAGCCAGCCCAUGCUAGUCUUAGCAAUUAAGCAUGCAUCUAGACCGACCUCCUCUUUUGCAAAAUCAAGUAAAUAAAGUUUGUCGUCUAAUACACCCUUAAAAGCUAGUGAACCAUCACUUCUUCUAAAGACAGACACAUCUACAUUUGUAAAAAGUCAAUUAUAUCCCAUAUUGCAUAGUUGACUAACAGAUAGCAAGUUGUACCCAAGAGACUCUACUAAGAACACGUUAGAGAUAGAGUGCUCAUUUGAAAUUGCAAUUUUACCUAACCCUUUUACCUUGCCUUGAUUCCCAUCACCGAAUAUUAUUGAAUCUUGGGAAUCCUUGUUUUUUAUGUAGGAGGUGAACAUCUUCUUCUCCCCCGUCAUAUGGUUUGUGCAUCCGCUGUCGAUAAUCCAGCUUGAACCCCCGGAUGCAUAAACCUGCAAGGCAAAUUUAGGCUUGGGACUUAGGUACCCAACUCUUGUUGGGUCCUACAAGGUUAGUCACAAUUCUCUUAGGGACCCAAAUGCAAGUUUUAUCACCCUUGCAUUUUGCCCCGAACUUCCUAGCAAUUAUCUUCCUAUCCUUUCUACAAAUAGCAAAGGAAGCAUUUAAAGCAUGAUAAAUUGUAGAGGGUUCAUUGACUUUCCUAGGAACAUUAACAACAUUUUUUCUAGGCAUAUGAUGAACAACAUUUCUUCUAAACACAUUUCUACCAUGCAUAUAGGAAGAACUAGAAGCAAACAUGGCAUGAGAGUCAAAAGCAUCAUUACAACUCCUAUAAGCAUUUCUAGGUUGUCUCCUAUCAUGGUACAUAAAAGCAUGGUUCAUUUGCACACUACUAGCCAUAGGGGCCUUCCCUUUCUCCUUGGCGGAGAUGGGAGCCUUAUGGCUUGUUAAGUUCUUGGCUUCCCUCUUGAAGCCAAGUCCAUCCUUAAUUGAGGGGUGUCUACCAAUCGUGUAGGCAUCCCUUGCAAAUUUUAACUUAUCAAAUUCACUCUUGCUAGUCUUAAGUUGGGCAUUAAGACUAGCCACCUCGUCAUUUAAUUUAGAAAUGCAAGCUAGGUGUUCACUACAAGCAUCAAUGUUAAUGUCUUUACACCUAGUGCAAGUUACAACAUUUUCUAUACAAGAGUUGGAUUUACUAGCGAUCUCUAACUUAGCAUUCAAAUCAUCAUUAACACUUUUUAAUUUAGAGAUGGAUUCAUGACAAGUAGAUAAUUCACUAGAGAGCAUUUCAUUCCUUUUAAUUUCUAGAGCAAGAGAAUUUUGUGCACUAACAAAUUUAUCAUGCUCCUCAUAUAAAAGAUCCUCUUGUUUUUCUAGUAAUCUAUUCUUGUCAUUCAAAGCAUCAAUCAACUCAUUAAUCUUAUCAAUUUUAGAUCUAUCUAAUCCCUUGAAUAAGCAUGAGUAAUCUAUCUCAUCAUCAUCACUAGACUCAUCCUCACUAGAAGAAGCAUAUGUAGAGUUUCGAGUACUUACUUUCUUCUCCUUAGCCAUGAGACAUGUGUGAUGCUCGUUGGGGAAGAGGGAUGACUUGUUGAAGGCGGUGGCGGCGAGUCCUUCACUGUCGGAGUCGGAAGAGGAGCAAUCCGAAUCCCACUCCUUGCCUAGAUGUGCCUCGCCCUUUGCCUUCUUAUAUGCCUUCUUCUUUUCCCUCUUGCUCCCUUGUUCCUGGUCACUCUCAUUAUCAGGACAGUUAGCAAUAAAAUGACCAAUCUUACCAUAUUUGAAGCAUGAGCGCUUCCCCUUUGUCUUGGUCUUGCUUGGCUGUCCCUUGCUACCCUUAAGCGCCGUCUUGAAGCGCUUGAUGAUGAGGGCCAUCUCUUCAUCAUUGAGCCCGGCCGCCUCAAUUUGCGCCACCUUGCUAGGUAGCGCCUCCUUGCUCCUUGUUGCCUUGAGAGCAAUAGGUUGAGGCUCAUGGAUUGGACCGUUCAACGCGUCGUCAACAUAUCUCGCCUCCUUGAUCAUCAUUCGCCCGCUUACGAAUUUCCCAAGAACUUCUUCGGGCGACAUCUUGGUGUACCUAGGAUUUUCACGGAUAUUGUUCACCAAAUGUGGAUCAAGUACAGUAAAGGACCUUAGCAUUAGGCGGACGACGUCGUGAUCCGUCCAUCACGUGCUUCCGUAGCUCCUUAUUUUGUUGAUGAGGGUCUUGAGCCGGUUGUAUGUUUGGGUUGGCUCCUCUCCCCUUAUCAUUGCGAAUCUUCCGAGUUCGCCCUCCACCAACUCCAUCUUGGUGAGCAAGGUGACGUCGUUCCCCUCAUGAGAGAUCUUGAGGGUGUCCCAGAUCUGCUUGGCAUUGUCCAAGCCGCUCACCUUAUGAUACUCGUCCCUUCACAAAGAUGCUAGCAACACAGUAGUAGCUUGUGCAUUCUUAUGAAUCUGUUCAUUAAUAAAUAUGGGAUUAUCCGAGCUAUCAAAUUUCAUUCCAGUCUCUACAAUCUCCCAUAUGCUUGGAUGGAGAGAGAACAAGUGACUACGCAUUUUGUGACUCCAAAAUCCGUAGUCCUCUCCAUCAAAGUGAGGAGGUUUACCAAGUGGAAUGGAUAAUAAAUGAGCAUUUGUAUUUUGCGGAAUACGAGAGUAGUCAAAAGAAAAGUUCGAAUUAACCGGUUUCCUUCUCUCGUAGUCGUUGUCGUCGUUGUCCUUUUGGGAAUAAGAGGACUCGUCGCUGUCGUCGUAGUAGACGAUCUCCUUGAUGCGUCUUGUCUUCUUCUUCCUCCCAUCUUUGCGCUUGUGGCCCGAGCCCGAGUCGGUAGGCUUGUCAUCUUUCGGCUCGUUGAAGAUAGACUCCUUCUCGUUGUUGACCACCAUCUCCUUUCCCUUAGGAUCCAUCUCUUCGGGCGAUUAGUCCCUUCUUGAAGAGAACGGCUUUGAUACCAAUUGAGAGCACCUAGAGGGGGGGGGUGAAUAGGUGAUCCUGUAAAACUUAAAACUUAAGCCACAAAACUUGGUUAAGUGUUAGCACAAUAAUCGCCAAGUGGCUAGAGGAGAGUCUCAACACAACACAAUAACCACAAAGAUAUCAAUCACAGAGAUGGCACGGUGGUUAUCCCGUGGUUCGGCCAAGACCAACGCUUGCCUACUCCACGUUGUGGCGUCCCAACGGACGAGGGUUGCAAUCAACCCCUCUCAAGCGGUCCAAAGACCCACUUGAAUACCACGGUGUUGCUUUGCUUUUCUUAAUCCCGUUUGCGAGGAAUCUCCACAACUUGGAGCCUCUCGCCCUUACAAAAGAUGUUCACAAAGAAGCACUGAGCAAGGGAGGGAUUAGCAACUCACACAAGACACAAAGAUCACAACAAAUACGCACACACAAAACCUAGAUGUUGGGGACUUGUUCUCAAAUGCUAUGAAUUAAGAACAAGGCAACAUAAAAUGUUAAAUGUUAACGUCCUUCGUCCAUGAAACAUUAUUCCCUUGAGGAUAAUGAACCUUGGACGAAGGUUAAUGAGAAUAUAAUUACGAAGGUUAAAUCUUCGUAAUUAUAUUUUAGUAGAUUGUAUAAGAUAACAUAAAAUAAAGGGUAUAAAAAGGUAAAUGAAUCAUAAACGAAUUAUAUUAUAUUUAUUCAAUAUAUUGAGUUAUUGAAUACAGUUAUACCUCUGCCUUGGCAAAGAUUGGUUCCCGAAAGACGCGAUUGCAAUUACCAGAAUCCGUGAACAGUAAAGGAAUAUUGUUCACUAUUUAUAGACACAGGACACAGCCUGUGAAGAAUUACAAUUAUGCCCCUCAUAAAAGUUUACAACAUUGACUCAGACCCUUAUGGACUAAAAGGUCAUUCUAUCUUUAAGUCGGUUUGCAAUACCGAAGCUUCAUGAAGAGGAACCUUCGGCCAUCCCAUACAAACAGCUUCAGCCGAAAGCCGCUUCUUCCUACAAGACCUUCGGCGACGAAGCAUAGUCCCAACAGUAGCCCCUUUCGCGGUGCUAGAUCGUUUUUCGUAACGAGCUUGAUCCGUGAAAAAAGUCUCUUAAGCUUCGGGGAGCCGAAGGUCCAAAAAACACCUUCCCUGAGCUCGUUGUCGAGAAACGAUUCAGUUUCCCAGCGCGUAGCGGUCCCACCUUGCAGAGUUAUUGUUUGUCUCUGCGGUCCACCACGCAGCGAGUGCAAGCGGGUGUCCGUCUGGUGUAAAAAUCCUGGCGCUUCGCCUUCUUUCCUGCAGUACUAUAUAAACAGACGAGUAGGUGUGAAGUUACCACAUCAUUCAUUGCUAUUUGCACUGUUUUGCUGCCAAAAUUUUUAACCAUCGCCGAAGCUUGACUCUCGGAAUCGAACGAAGCUCCAACUUGAAGCCUGCUUCGUCAGAAGAAAAAACUUCGGAAAAAAGUAUUUAAUUUCCACAAAUUCAGAAUUAAAUGGCCAGAGUGCGUUCUACCGCUAGGGUUGAGCGUGAGGGGGGCGAAACUGAAGGUUCGGAGACUGUUCCCAUCUCUGAAGCGAUGCAAAGAUCUGGACUGGUAACUUCGGAAAGGAUCCCCAGUGAUGAUGCAGAACAAGCAGAACAAGCAAUUGCCGAAGCAGAAGAAGAAGAUAUUGAGGAAACUGAUCCCGAAGACGAUUAUCGUAUUGCCAUGCCAAGUAAGCCCAGCCACUUGGACUUCGGAAAGUCUACUGUUUCGAAGGCUGAUCUCUCCAAGAUGGUAAAGUCGGGUUUUUUCAGUGAAAAUCAGAAGAAGUUACUUCGCUUCGGGGGGGGGGGGGGGAAGAAACUACCCCGAAGCCAGAGAAAGAUGAAAUAGUUAUUUUCAAGAGCUUUCUAAAGGCUGGGUUGAGAUUCCCCCUGAAUGGAAUUAUUGCAGAAAUAUUGAAUAGAUUUGGAAUCUACUUUCAUCAGCUGACUCCUAACGCCAUCGUUAGGCUCAAUGUUUAUAUCUGGGCCCUCCGAAGCCAAGCGGUGGAACCGUUUGCGGAUAGCUUUUGCCGAGUUCACGAGUUGCACUAUCAGACGAAGGCUAGAAAAGAUGGAUUGCAUGACAACUUUGGUUGCUAUAAUUUUGCUUAUCGGAAAACCACAAAGUUUCCUGUAAUCAGCUACCGAAGCAAAUGGGCAGCAGGUUGGAAGUCGGAGUGGUUCUAUGUCAAGGUUGAUGAUGACAAGGAGAAGCUCGUGCAAAGUCCACUUGAACUAAUCUUCGGAGAAACCCGACCUCGUUGCAACAUGACACCAGAAGGUCCAACCCAACAAGCGUUGGAUGAGUUCAGAAUUAUUUCAGAGCAUAUCAGUACAAGAGACCUGGUACAGGAGUUUUUGGCUUUCAGGGUUUUUCCUAGUUUAAAAGAAUGGGAAAUGCCGAAGCUAGAGGGGGAGAAAAAAGAGGGAGAACUUGUACGAUUACCUUACUAUUUCAAGUUCAAGAAAUACUUUAAAACACCUUGCCAAGAGUGGCUGGAUACAAUUGAAGUAAUGUGUAAUGAAAUACUCGGCAAUUACUCCAAAAAAGAAGAUCAGUUGAUGACUGCAGCCUUCGGCACCCGUCCGAAGCGAAGAUUGAACCGAGUGUUGGAUGCCUUGGGUUUUGAAUACCCUGACUACGAAAAUCUGAAUAAAAGUGUCGAAGGCCGGAAAAGAAAAAGGGUAGCCGAAGCUUCAAAUAAAGAUGAGAAGGAACCAGCAAAAAAGAAGAAUAUUCCGAAGAAAAAGAAAGUAUUAUCUCCGAAGCGAAAGAUAUCCGACAAAGAGGAGACCCCCACAUCACCCUCUGCCACUGAUGUGGAAGAGAUUUUGAAGGUAAUAAGUCCAUUGGGGCCUCAACUGACGAAGUUUUUUCAGAAGGAAAAGGAGCCCGAACAAACGAAGAAAUCAACUAAAACUAAAAGACAAAGAAUCAUCGCAGUAACAGAAGUCAUUGACAAGACACCACCGAGAGCUUCAGCUCAGAAGAUACCAGCAGAUGAAGAAAUAACAAAUAUUGAAGUCACACCUUCGGAGGUCGCGGCUGCCGAAGCUACCUCAAUUGAAGAUUUGAACUUGGAAAGCACAAUUGAGCAUAUCGAUAAAAUACUACUAGACAUGGCCACAGAAGAAGCUACCACUGCCGCCGAAGAGGCCAUGGCCGCAACUUCUGGGAAAGAAAAGGAAAUUGCUGACGAAGCUUUAGAGGACGAAGCCUUCAUGUUCCAAAAUUUAGUUGGACAAGAAUUGUCAGAGGCCGAAGUGGAAGAGCUUAAAGAAUAUGCCAAGUCUUGCGGUUAUAAGCCAGGAGCACUCCUCUUCGGGGGAAUUGACGAUGAAAAAUUGAACUGUAUCCGAGACCAAACUGGAGCUAAGAUCAUCGGUACUCUAUCAAAGAGUAUCGGUUUUCCGAAGCUGGAAACGGACAUCAGCCGCUACCGACGACAACAUAUCGUUGGUAGUUUAUUUUAUUCUAAUUUCAAGGUGAACUACUUUUCCCUUGUCUUUUAUUGUUUUUAAUGAUAAAUACAUGUCUAACGAAGAUUGUUUACGUGUAGAGUAUGCUGCUGAGCAAGGCUUUGAAAAUGCAGCAAGAUUUAGAAGACAAAAAACACGAAGUUAUAAUUGAAAGCUUAGAGAGCAAAAUAAAAGAGCAAUCAGCUACUGUUGAAAAGAAAGACUUCGAGCUUCGGACAACUGAAGGUUUAUUGACAGAAGCUGAAGCUAAAAUAGCAGAAUUGAAUUCGAAGCUUCUCUAUCAAUCUGAACAAUUUGAACAGGAAAAACAAGAACUUAGUAUGAAACUUGAAGCCGAAGUUCAACAAAAUUCAGAUUUGAAAAAAUUAUUGGCAAUCCUUCAAGAAAAAUGUUUGGAAUUUAGCAACAAAUGCAUUCAACGACUGAGAAAAAUUUUCCACUCAGUUGGAGCUAGCAAUGAAAAAUUCACCCCGUCAGCUGAAGAUUUACCAAAGACCUUCGAACAUAUCGAAGGUGAAAUUGAUGAGCUUGACGAAGUUAUAGCUGGGCAUGGUGACUUCUGCGCCUGGGUACCUUCUCGGGGCACUGCUGCAGCUUUCCUAAAAGCUGGCUGCGAUCAUGGAAAGAUUGUCAAUAGGCCCAAUUUCACUUUAUCACCAUCAAUCCUAGAUGACAUUCCUGAUCUCGCCCGAAGUAUUUCCAAUAGAUUUGUAAAAAUGAUAUGGACAAAAGGCGGGCGAGAAAAGGCUGGAGACGAAGCUCGGAGUCAUCUUGAACCAGUAAGAAAUCAUACCUUGUGCUUACCUCUUCCUUCAAGCUCGAUUUUGACUUACAACAACUUAAUUCAUGUAGGAUGACGAAGCCGAAGUCGAUGAUUAAAAAGAAUGACGCCGAAGCUAAAAUCCCUCGAAGAUUAAAUAGGAGUAUACUGUAGACAGAUUCAGGAAACUUUUGAGAUAACUUUUGUAAAUGUAACUAAACUUGUCUUUAAUGAGUUCUGUUCAUACCUUGUAUUAUGCUCUUACCCUUCCAUUAAUGUAUGUGAAGUGCUUUGUUGUGGACGAAAUUAUCUUUUUUGAGCCGAAAGCGAAAAAACACCUUCCCUUCUUUUCGUACACAGCGAAGCAUAGAAAACAACAUUUCCCUUUUUCCGAAGCUCUCCUUUUUGUACGCGAAGAAGCUCUUCUCUUAUGCCGAAGCAACCACUUAUGCCAUGAUGAUGAUUAUCCUACAUAUGCCUAGAUGAAUGUUUUAUGAAUGCAAAUGCUAUGAUGUAAUGUGAUGUGCAAAUGAAUGUCCAAACACAUAUCCGAAGCCAUACUCUCAGCCAUUAUUUUCUUAAAGACAAUCACACAUCAGCUCUGCAUUCCCUUAGGAACGACUUUGGAGCUUCUUCGCCUUUUACUUUCGGCGGAAUCAGCGUUGACUUUUCGCUGUAAGCUCUGCAUUCCCUUAGGAACGACUUUGGAGCUUCUUCGCCUUUUACUUUUGGCGGAAUCAGCGUUGACUUUUCGCUGUAAGCUCUGCAUUCCCUUAGGAACGACUUUGGAGCUUCUUUGCUUUUUACUUUUCGGCACUCGAUGGUGCGUUCUCAGCUUUUACAUUUACAUUUCUUGGGGGAUUUUGCUCUUAUAGAACUAAAAAAGAAAAUUACAUGUGAUGGCCCCAUUAAAAACCUUUCUCCCCCUUUAGAAAGGAAAAGGGUGCCAUGAAAAAGAAAAAACAUAAAAAAUUACAUCAAGUUACACAUAAUAUCGCCGAAGCUCAUCCGCAUUCCAAGAUCUAGGAAUGUCGUUGCCGUCCAUAUCCUUCAAUCUGUAUGAACCGGGUCUUGAUGAAGAUGCUACUAAGAAAGGUCCCUCCCAUUUCAACUGCAACUUGCCCACUGUGUCUGUGUUGGCCACUCUCCGAAGCACCAAAUGUCCUGGCUCAAUAUUCUUUAGCCGAACCUUUCUAUCUCACCAUUUGAUUGUUUCGGCUUGAUAUUUAUUGAUAUUCUCCACAGCUUGAAGCCUGAUCCCUUCUAAAGCAUCUUUUUCCACAGAAUAAGCAUCUUCAGAACCUGGUUCUGCCGAAGCUACUACUCUUAUUGAUCCAGUUUUAGCUUCCUCCGGAGUUUUUGCUUCGUCACCGAAUAAUAACUUGAAUGGAGUAAAGCCUGUAGACCUUGAUGUUGUUGUGUUGUGGCUCCACACCACUUUGGUUAACUGAUCUGGCCAUUUUCCCCUGGGUUGAUUGAAGAUUAACUUCAUUAUUCCUGUCAUUAUAAUGCCAUUGGCUCUUUCAACGAGCCCAUUUGACUCCGGAUGCCUGACUGAUGCAAAGUGGAUCUUCGUACCAAUUUGAUCAUAGAAAUCUUUGAAAGCUUCGGAGUCGAACUGUGUUCCAUUAUCCACAGUGAUGACCUUUGGUACCCCGAAACGACAAACAAUAUUCUGCCAGAAAAACUUUUGAAUGGUGGCCGAAGUUAUUGUAGCAUUUGGAAAAAUAUUCCACAGCCACUACAACAUAUCUUAAGUUCCCUUGGGCCGGUGGUAAUGGACCCAACAAGUCAAGGCCCCACCUUUGCAAUGGCCAGAUGGGUUGUAUGAGCUGUGUUAAGGACGAAGGUUGUUUUUGAUCUCUUGCACAUUUUUGACAACCUUCGCACUUUUGAACUAAUUCCGCUGCAUCCGAAGCUGCCUUCGACCAAUAAAACCCUUGGCGGAAAACUUUUCCAAGUAACGGCCUAGAUCCAAUGUGAGAUCCACACAGGCCUGCAUGUAUUUCUUUCAUCAACUCUAUGCCUUCGGUUCUAGAUAAACACUUGAGCAACGGAGCACAAACUCCAUGCUUGUACAACUCCCCUUCUAUCAUGACAUAUGGACGAGCUCUUGCCUCUAUCCUCCUGUUAUAAGUUUCGUCAUCUAAAAGGAAUUUACCCUGAAGGUAAGAGAUAAUCUCAGUUCUCCAAUCUUCGCUAUAAACAGGAGAUAUAUUGAGGACUACUCUUUCAAGAAGUUCCACCGAAGGUGCUUUUAUUGUUUCGAAGAACACAUCCGAAGGUAAGGGCAGCCCCUGUGCUGCUGACUUAGCUAGCAAAUCAGCAUGCUCAUUUUGUCCUCGAGGGAUAUUUUUGACAGAAAAUCCUUCGAAGGAAGCUUCGACUCUUCGAACCAUGUCCAGAUAUUUUUCAAGCUUCGGAUCUUUAGCCUUGCAACUCUUGUCGAUAUGACCCGAAACAACCUGGGAAUCAGUUUUAAGAAUGGCCCUUCUGAUUCCCAUUGCUUUUAGCUUCCGAAGACCCAAAAGCAGGGCUUCGUACUCAGUAAUAUUGUUUGUACAACUGAAAUCGAGUCUUGCCGCAUAACAAGUUUUAACUUUGGAUGGCGAGACCAACACAGCAGCUGCUCCUGCCCCGAAGGUUCCCCAAGACCCAUCGCAAAACACUGUCCAUACUUCGGCAUCUUUAUUUGUUUCUUCAUCCUGAGCCCCUGGCGUCCAGUCAGCAAUGAAGUCUGCUAACGCCUGAGACUGGAUCGAAGAUCUAUGCACAUAAUCAAUGUAAAAUUCAUUGAGCUCUGCAGCCCAUUUUCCAAUCCGCCCAGUAGCUUCUCUAUUUCUCAUAAUAUCCUUCAACGGCUGCGAAGAAGGAACAACAAUAUUGUAUGCUUGAAAGUAAUGCCGAAGCUUCCUGGAUGCCAUCAAAACAGUAUAUAACACCUUCUCUAAUUCUGUAUAGUUUUUCUUUGAUAUACUAAGAACUUCAGAUACAAAAUACACUGGGACCUGCUUCUUGACUUGGCCAUCAAGCUUCUCCUGGACAAGUGCUGCACUUACCGCUGAGUGCGAAGCUGCCACAUAUAAUAACAAAGGAGCCCCUGGCGUUGGUGGGGUUAAUGUUGUUAAAUCUAUCAGAUAUUGCUUCAGUUCCUCGAAGGCUUUUUGUUGGCUUGGUCCCCAUUGAAAGACUUCGGCUGACUUCAGCACUUCGAAGAAUGGUAAAUUUCUUUCUGCUGAUCUGGAUAUAAAUCUAUUAAGAGAUGCCAACCUCCCUGUUAAUCUUUGGGCCCCCUUUUUUGUAGUUGGUGGCUCCAUUCGAAGUAUAGCUUCAAUUUUACUUGGAUUAGCUUCAAUUCCCUUUGUUGAAACCAAGCAUCCAAGAAAUUUCCCCUUCUUUACUCCGAAGACACAUUUUUCUGGAUUCAACUUUAAGCCAGCUUGUCUGAAACUGGCGAAGGUCUCCUGCAAAUCAGCAAUAUGAUUUUCCUGUUUCGUGCUUUUUACAAUGAUGUCAUCAACAUAAGUUAGCACAUUUCUGCCUAUCUGAGACUGGAGAACCUUCGCAGUCAUUCUGCUGAAACUUCCUCCAGCGUUUUUGAGCCCCUCAGGCAUCCGAAGAUAACAAUAUGUGCCACUUGGGGUUAUGAAGCUAGUCUUCGGCUCAUCUUCCUUCUUCAUCCAGAUUUGGUGGUAGCCUGAGUAACAAUCUAGCAGACUCAUGAGCUCUGAAGAAGCUGCUGCAUCAACUAAAGAGUCUAUCCUUGGCAAUGGGAAUUCGUCCUUCGGACAAGCCUUGUUGAGAUCUGUAAAAUCGAUACACAUUCGCCACUUGCCAUUGGCCUUUUUUACCAUAACAGUGUUAGCUAGCCAUUCUGGGUACUUUACUUCUCUGAUAACUCCUGCACUGAGGAGUCUUUUGACUUCAUUACGAGCACCUUCGGCCUUAUCAUCAGACAUUUUCCGAAGCCUCUGCUUUCUGGGUCUGAAGGAUGGGUCAACAUUGAGCGAGUGUUCAAUAACAUCCCUAUUAACUCCACAGAGAUCAUUGGCUGACCAUGCAAAAACAUCUUUGUUGUUGAACAAAAACCUUAUCAAGGUUUUCUCCUGCUCUUCGGAUAAUUGAGAGCCCAACAGCACCUUCUGCUCUGCUAUGUCCUCACAUAAGAGCAUGGGCUUCGGCUGAUCUGCUGAAGCUGCUUUCUCCCUUCUGAAUUUGUACUGUUCACAAGCUUCAGCUCCAUCUAUGUUAUGGAUUGCUUUUGAGUCAGUCCAGUUUCCUUCGGCCCUUCUGGCAGCUUCCUGACUUCCAUGAAUAGCGAUGGGUCCUUGAUCCGAAGGUAUCUUCAUGCAAAGAUAAGCAGGAUGAAGAAUUGCUUCGAAAGCAUUGAGGGUGCCACGACCAAUAAUUGCAUUGUAAGGGUAUUCCAUGUCAACAAUGUCAAACACAACUUGCUCGGUUCUAGUGUUGUUGAUGAACCCGAAGGUCACUGACAUGGUGAUCUUGCCCAGUGCUACAAUCUGUCUUCCUCCGAAGCCACAGAGAGGGUGUGUAGCAUCAUGAAUCUUAUCUUCUGGCUCUUGCAUUUGCCUGAAGGCCUUAGCAAAUAUGAUAUCAGCUGCACUGCCUGUAUCAACCAAGACAUUGUGGACCAGAAAUCCUUCGAUAACACAAGAGAUAACCAUGGCAUCGUUGUGUGGGUAAUCCUUGAGUUGAAGGUCCUCUUGGGAGAAGGUAAUAGGAAUGUGAGACCAUCUUGACUUGAUGAAGGGUCCUUGCACCCCAACAUGCUGUACCCUUCUCUGUGCUUCCUUCUUCUGCUUCUUGUUGGCUGGCUCUGAACAUGAACCGCCUGUUAUCGGGAGUAGCAGCUUCGGAGCCGAAGCAGCUCCAGCUUGAUCGUUGAACGAAGCCAUCAGCUCAAAAAAGUGGAAGUGAGUUCACCGGAGGUGGGCGCCAAUGUUGGGGACUUGUUCUCAAAUGCUAUGAAUUAAGAACAAGGCAACAUAAAAUGUUAAAUGUUAACGUCCUUUGUCCAUGAAACAUUAUUCCCUUGAGGAUAAUGAACCUUGGACGAAGAUUAAUGAGAAUAUAAUUAUGAAGGUUAAAUCUUCGUAAUUAUAUUUUAGUAGAUUGUAUAAGAUAACAUAAAAUAAAGGGUAUAAAAAGGUAAAUGAAUCAUAAACGAAUUAUAUUAUAUUUAUUCAAUAUAUUGAGUUAUUGAAUACAGUUAUACCUCUGCCUUGGCAAAGAUUGGUUCCCGAAAGACGCGAUUGCAAUUACCAGAAUCCGUGAACAGUAAAGGAAUACUGUUCACUAUUUAUAGACACAGGACACAGCCUGUGAAGAAUUACAAUUAUGCCCCUCAUAAAAGUUUACAACAUUGACUCAGACCCUUAUGGACUAAAAGGUCAUUCUAUCUUUAAGUCGGUUUGCAAUACCGAAGCUUCAUGAAGAGGAACCUUCGGCCAUCCCAUACAAACAGCUUCAGCCGAAAGCCGCUUCUUCCUACAAGACCUUCGGCGACGAAGCAUAGUCCCAACACCAGACUUGAGCUCAAGAGACUAGCACACUAGAACGGAGCUCAAAUCACUAGAAUGUCGAACAAGUGCGCAAGAUUGAUGUGUGAGUGAUCAAGAGUGCUCAAGGAAUGCUUGGUAUUCUCCUCCAUGCGCCUAGGGGUCCCUUUUAUAGCCCCAAGGCAGCUAGGAGCCGUUAAGAGCAAUUCUGGAAGGCCAUUCUUGCCUUCUGUCGUCUGGCGCACCGGACAGUCCGGUGCACACCGGACACUGUCCGGUGCCCGAUUUCUUUCCUUCUACGGCGAAGUCGACCGUUGGCAGCCAGAGAGCCGUUGGCGCACCGGACAUGUCCGGUGCACACCAGACAGUCCGGUGCACACCGGACAGUCCGGUGCCCCCUUCCGACCGUUGGCUCGGCCACGUGUCCCGCGCAGAUCGCGCGACCGACCGUUGGCCCGGCCAACCGUUGGCUCACCGGACAGUCCGGUGCACACCGGACAGUCCGGUGCACACCGGACAGUCCGGUGAAUUAUAGCCGUAUGUCGCCGGUGAAAUCCCGAGAGCGGCCAGUUCGCCCGAGCCAGUCUGGCGCACCGGACACUGUCCGGUGCACCACCGGACAGUCCGGUGCUUCCAGACUGAGCAGACUUCGGCUGAACAAGGCCAUCUCAUUUCCAAUUCGAUUUUUCCUGUUUCCAGCACUUAGACACAAUACAUUAGUCCAUAAAACAAUGUACUAAGUCUAGAAACAUACCUUUGUUCUUGAUUUGUACUUUGUCCACCAUUUUACACUUAGGCACUUGUGUUGGCCACUAAAUCACCAAAAUACUUAGAAAUGGCCCCAAGGGCACAUUUCCCUUUCACUGCUUCCUACCCAUAGACAAGCUCAAAAGGCGAUAUUUUAGUAGCACUAUAUUUAGAUAUUCUGUGAGCCCAUAAAGCUUCGGACAAAAUCUUAUGCCAAUGCUUAGGAUUAUCGGAUAUCUUCUUUUUUAUCAAGUUAAUCAAUGUCCUAUUACUAGACUCGGCCUGCCCAUUGGGCUAAGCAUAAUAUGGGGAUGAAUUAAGCAACUUAAUUCUAUAUAAUUCAGCAAAUUCACGUACCUCCUUUGACAUAAAAGAAGUUCCUUAAUCUGUAAUCAAGGUCUGGGGAAUGCCGAAUCUAUGAAUAAUAUGCUUAGUUAUGAACUCAAUUACCUCCUUGUGCGUCAUGUUCUUCAGAGCAACGACUUCAGUCCAUUUGGUAAAGUAGUCAGUGGAAACUAACAGAAACUGAUGCCCCUUUGAUGAUGAAGGAUGAAUUUCUCCUAUAAAGUCUAAUCCCCAUCCUCUGAAAGGCCAAGGCUUGAUGAUAUGAUGUAAUUCGGCUGCAGGGACCAACUGUAGGUCGCCGAAUUUUUGACACACUUGGCAUCCUUUGUAGUACUUGAAACAAUCAGCUAUCAUGUUAGGCCAAUAAAAACCAGACCUUCGCAACAACCACUUCAUCUUUGGAGCCGAUUGAUGGGUACCACAAAUUCCUUCAUGUACUUCGGCCAUGGCUAAUAUAGCAUCAUCUGGGCCCAAGCACUUAAGCAGGACGUCGUUGACUGUUCGGCGGUAGAGUUCAUCACUCAUCAAAACAUACUUGAAAGUUGUACGCCGAAUGUUCUUACGUGUCCUGAUAUUGGGAUUUCGUAAAUAAUUAGUUAUGGGCAUCCUCCAAUCACUUGUAUCGGCUUCAUUAUCAGCUGAAUCAAUUAGGAGAACUUUCCUGGUAACCCCGGACGGUACGAAAUCUUUACUCAGACGGUCCGCGACCUGGGGAAUUGUGCCGGUUAUCAGAUUUUCAGUGUUGUGAAAUCUCCCUCGCUUUAUCCGAUAACCUGAUGCAUCUUGUGCCAAAUUGUUAGCUCUAUGAUUCUCAACUCUAGAGAUAUGCCGAAUACUGAAUUCGUCGAAAGAAUGAAUUAUGCCCCAACAUUUUUCAAGGUAACUAUUUAGAGUACCAUCAAAACAUUGAUAUUCUUCUAACACCUGUUGGACGACCAGCUGAGAAUCACUAAAUGCCUUCACAUGUGUUUACUCCCAUGCAAUUUAAAAGUUCCAAGCCGAACAAAAGGGCCCCAUAUUCGGCUUGAUUGUUAGUGCAAUAAGUUUUCAAUCGGCUAGAGAAGUCGAAGGAGACAUCACUUGGUGAAACAAGUAUGAUGUCAAUUCCUUGCCCUUCAUUGCAAACCGAUCCAUCAAAAUAUAAAGUCCAAGGAGUAAUAGUGAGGUAUGACAUGUCUAGUUUAUGAAUAUCAUUAAUCCGAUGUUCUACAAUAAAAUCCGCUACGACCUGGCCUCUCAUAGAUUUCAAUGGUUCAUAGGCCAAGUCAUAUUCUAUGAGUGCAUAAGCCCACUUACCAAUUCUACCACUCAUAAUUGGGUUAUGCAACAUGUAUUUGAUCACAUCGGCCUGACCAGAAACAGUGCAAUGACUAGACAGUAAAUAACAUCUACACUGGGUGCAUGCAUAAAACAAGUAUAAGCAUAACUUCUCAAUAAAAGUGUACCUCAUUUUAGCAUCCACCAACCUCCGACUUAGAUAUGUCACCACAUGCUCCUUUCCUUUAGUUUCUUGUGUCAGAACAGCCCCAAUGACCUUAUCUUCAGCUGCAAUGUAUAAUCGGAAUGGUACUCCUGCUCGUGGUGCUUUUAAUACGGGAGCCGAAGACAAGUAUUUUUUAAUGAGAUCAAAUGCUUCCUGCUGCUCUGCCCCCAAGCAAAUUCGGCAUCAUUCUUAAGCCGAAGGAUAGGGGUGAAGGCAUCAAUCUUCCCGGCUAGGUUAGAAAUAAACCUUCGUAAAUAAUUCGCCUUGCCGAGAAACUUCUGCACUUCGACUUUACAGGUCGGAGGUCCCACAUUCCGAAUAGACUUGAUUCGGUCAGGGUCUAUCUCUAUACCAUGUUCAUGGAUGACAAAUCCUAAAAACUUACCAGCCGACACUCCAAAAGCACAUUUACGUGGGUUCAUUUUCAAACCAUACCGACGCACUUUAUCAAAGGCUUUGCGCAAAUCAGCUACAUGAGAACUAAACUCAGUCGAUUUGACUACAAUAUCAUCAAUGUAGACUUCCACAGUGUUUCCCAACAACUCAUGGAAGAUCAAAUUCAUAGCCCUCUGAUAAGUAGCACCAGCAUUUUUCAGACCAAAUGUCAUGACAACCCACUCAAAUAAGCCAAUGAAGCCUGGACAUAUAAAGGCCGUUUUAGACGCAUCUUCUUUGGCCAUGAAAAUAUGAUUAUAUCCGGCAUUACCAUCAAGCAAGCUAAUAAUUAUAUUCCCUGAUGCAUUAUUGAUUAAUGUGUCGGCUAUGGGCAUGGGAUACUCAUCUUUAGGAGUUGCUCUAUUUAAAUUGCGAAAAUCAAUGCAUACUCUAAGCUUACCUCACUCCUUCUCCACUAGCACAAUAUUGGAGACCCACUCUGCGUAUAUGCAAUGUCUAAUAAAAUUAGCUUCUAGCAGCCGGUGGAUUUCGUCCUUGAUUCGUGGGAGAAGGUCUGGACGAAAUGUUCUAUCUUUCUGCUUGAAAGGUCUGAAACCGGACUUAAUGGGCAGCCGAUGCUCUAUGAUCUCUCGGCUUAAUCCUGGCAUCUCAGUGUAAUUCCAAGCAAAGCAAUCCGAAUAUUCCUUCAGUAGACCGAUCAUUUCAUUUCUAGGAUCGGUCUCCAGGGUCUUAUUUACAAAAGUCGGCCUUGGAGUUUUACCAUCUCCUAUGUCGAUCUCCUCUAAAGGAUCGACCGAUGUAAACCCCUAUCCUAGUUUAUCGAGAUCUCUGAAUUCCUCUAUCAUGUCCCCCACAGAGGAAUCAGACGAUCUUUGUGUGAUGGCGGACUCUCCAGUCUCGGGGGUCGGAUCAUCCGUGAUACUGUUUUUAUGCUGUGGUAGAUGUUCGGUCUUAAAGACUGAACUGUUUUGUGAAAGACCGGACCAUCUGGCCUUAGAAGCCGAACUGUCCGUGACCAAGGACUCAUGAAUUUUGUAUGCACUCAUCAUUUAAACUUUAUUUAGGAUUUAGUCGAUUCUCCAUCAGCUCUAGCAUUACAGGGAUGAAACCCUUCUUAUCUAUACUUAUGAACUGGUAAUCAGAAAAAUCUACUCCUGUGAGACAUGUAGCAGUCUCAUAAGUCCAGAGUACAGGGGCAUCAGCCACAACGAUACAGGUCGAUACAUCAGCAUGUACUUGUUCUAUAUCAUCGCCUACCCAUUGUAUCAACAUUUGAUGUAAUGUAGAAGGUAUACAUUGGUUGGCAUGAAUCCAAUCUCUACCUAGGAUUAGACUGUAAUUUCCUUCUACAUCAGCGACGAAGAAUGCAGCGGCAAGGGUCUUAGUGUCGAUGGUUAAUUCAACGGACAUGACUCCCCUGGCUUUGAUCGAACUAUCAGUUCCAACACCGCUGAGGGUCAUGUUGGUCUUGACAAGUUCGUCAUCUUGUUUAGCUAAUUUUCUGUAUAAUGAAUAAGGCAUUAGAUUUACAGCCGCCCCUCCAUCUACUAACAUUUUAGCAAUCGGUAUCCCAUCAAUGUGACCGCGCACGAAGAGCGGCUUUAAAUGAUUUACCGAUUCCUUUGGUUUAGUAAAGGCGGCUUCUUCAGGACCGAAAUCAAACUGGGCAACAACAGGUUCAUCGUCGCCGAUAAUAGUACAAUCGACAGAAAAUGUAAUAACAUUUACAUCCAUACCUGGGCGUUCUGGAGAAGCUUCGUAGUCGACCAGGUCUUCUCUCAGUAGGUCGUCCUCCUCCAUUGAUGUCGGUACGUCAUCGGAGGUGUCCUGGUGUGGUGCGGACGGUCCGGACUCAGGGGUCAGACGGUCCGCGCCUUCUGUAGCUGGUCCAGCCUUUUUAGCUGGGCUGUCUACCAUACAUGCAGGGUGCUACACCAGUGCUGUUUUUUUUUCUAUUUUUGUGGCCGAUUGCUUUUCCUCAACGGCCUUUGGUCUCCAUUUCUUUUGUGGUGGCGGGUACUAUGGAUGUGUGUCAUUGAAUAUCUUUUCGGUCUCCUUUUCCUAAUGCUCUUUUGCUCUUAGGCGCUGUAAUUUUCGCUUUUGCGACCGUGCAAUCCCGCUGGGCACCAUCGAGGCAUGGAGUAUUUUAGAUCGGCUAUUUUGAUGGCAGUCGUAUCUUUUGUUUUGCUUGUGUUGGCCGAUUCACCAAAAACCAUCGGCCAUUCACUUUCUUUUUGUAUGACGACAUCUGCUGUACCUAUUUUGAUGAUGUCCUUUUUUGUCGUUCUUUUAGUUGCUGCAGGCAUAUGCCCCCCUGCCGGAUUGGUCGGCCUUGGAGGCGAGUAGUCCGGCAAUCUUGUUGGGCCUGUGCCUGGUGACCGGAUUGAGCGGCGCUCAAUCGGUCUGGUACUAGUGGUGCCAACCUGUUGAAUACAGAUGUUUGGGGUGCCCCCAAGCGGGGUACUGUGGCAUCCCAAAUGAAUAUGGUGGCAUGCCCCACAUUUGAUUUGGAACAUAUGGUGGAGGUAUGUAUGUGUAUGGAUAUGGCAUAAGUGGAUAUGGGGUUGGAGGUGUCCAUGUAGGUAUGUUAGGUCUCAAUUGUAUAGUAUGACCUUUCAUUUCUUCCGAUUGGUGGGGUGGUCCAAUCGGCCUUACCUGACGUUGUUCAAGAAUGGGUGAGCGGGGUCGCUUUGCUGGCCGGUCACUAGGGCCGGCCUUCUUUUUCACAUAUUUGGACAACAAUUGAUCGAAAGUCGGGUCGGAUUUGACCAGCCGACCAGCUAUUUUAAAUGUAUUUGUUUUCCACGUACCUAUCUUUGGUCGUCGUGGUUUGAAUGUACGUGGUUGUUGCAGGUCCUAAGUGUAGCCGGACCGUCCGCCAGAAGUCUUCGGACCGUCCGGAGAAGCUUCGGACCGUCCGUGUCUGGAUGGCGGACCGUCUGUGAUGCGCAGCACGGGUUCCCACACCUGUCUCCCUGUCUGUGCUUGCCCCUCAGUGCCAGAGGCUGUGAUGGUCACCUUCAGGGUCUCCCCUCCAUCGGGAGUCUUUUCUGCCACUACUUUCCUGCAAGAAAUUUUAUUAUUUUCAUCGGCCUCCCGUGCGUUGCCGAUGAUGAUUUCUUUGCCUUUUCCCUUAUCGACUGUGCUGGGUCGAAUUAGGACCCUUUUGCCCUCGAAGUCGAUCAUGUUCAUCGGAAAGGGCUCUGUAUCCACCUGCAUUUCUUGAAAUUUCAAUCGUCCCUCGUUAAUGGACGAUUGAAUCUGUCGCCGAAACACAUUACAAUCAUUAGUGGCAUGAUAAAAUGAGUUAUGCCACUUGCAGUAUGCACGACGUUUUAGCUCGUCGGCGGAUGGAACAGUGUGAUUUAUUUUAAUGUUGCUAUUUUUGAGUAAUUCAUCAAAUAUUUUAUCACACUUACCAACAUUAAACGUAAACUUAACCUUCUCUUGCCGUUUCUUUUGAACCGGCUGCAAGUAGGAACAAUCAGAAGAUUUGGCCUGUUUUGGCCAAACCAUUUCAGCCACGUAUACCUCUGCUGAUUUGUCGUCCGAGCUACUUUGGUCGCACUCUACUAUAUGGACAUUGUGACGAAUGGUUUUGACAGUCUCUUUGCUUCGGCUUUCACAGGUCAAAGCUCUCUGGUGUAAUUGUGCUAGCGUGAAAAAUUGGAUGCCUUCUAAUCUUUCUUUUAAAUAAUAUUGCAGUCCAUUAAAGGCUAAUCCUGCUAGCUGUUUUUCUGCUAAGUGUAUUUGGAAGCAUCGGUUUCUUAUAUCCUGGAACCUCCGGAUGUAUUCGUUAACCGAUUCAUCCUUCCCCUAUCGCAGGGCCACUAGGUCUACCAAAUCUAACUCAUAGUCACCAGAGAAAAAAUGGUCAUGGAAUUUUUGUUCUAACCCCCCCCCCAUGACGAAAUAGAAUUAGGAGGUAAAGUGGCGUACCACGCGAACGCGGUUCCUGUUAAAGACAAUGAAAAUAAAUGCACGUGAAAUGCUUCUGUGUCGGCCAAUUCUCCUAAUUGUGCUAAGAACUGGCAUAUGUGUUCGCGCGUGUUUUUUCCUUGGUCACCUGAAAAUUUUGUGAAUUCGGGUAUCCUGGUUCCCUGGGGGUAUGGGUGGUGAUCAAAUCGGCUAUCAUAAGGUUUUCGAUAUGAUUGCCCCCAGGUACCAUGCUUACUCCGAGCUUAUCCUGGAACGCCCCGGCUAUUUCAUGCCUCGCUAUAUCGAUGGCAGCCGGUGCGAGACCACCGGCUCUCUGGUCAAACAUAGGUGGUGUUGGCUGGAUAUUAGCGUGUUGUCUUCCCCCCACUGGUUUGAGCUAUGUGGUGCAUUGCCAUUUGCCCUAUAUGGCUCAUAGGAUUGAUCGUUCCUUUCCGGCCUUCUAGGCGGGACCGAAAAGCUUUCCUGGGCUCUGGAUUUUGUAUUAAUGGGCUGAUGCAUUGUAUAGUGUGAUGGGAAGUGUUGUUGGGACGGGUGAGGAUUCAGGUAACAAUCCUCCUCAAAAGACUCAUGCUCGGACUGUCCGGACAUGUACCCGGACCGUCCGUGAUUAUAUGCGGACGUCUGUCGUUGUAUGCGGACGGUGCGACUGGAUAGUUUAGAUUCUGUGCCAUAUGUGGUGGCUCGGGUACAUGUCUAGGUAACUCAUUAAAAAUGGGCCCGGCUGUGGCUGGCUCGGACGGUCCGCGUUCACGUGCGGACGGUCCGGACAUGUGCAGAUCGGCUGAUUUACUGCCGAUUUGCGGUUGCUCAGGGUAUGUGUCCAUCGGCAUCCCGUAAAGGGGUUGUGACUGGUCGUGACAACCUAUAGCCGAUGUAUUACUCAUGUUACCCCCUAAUUCAACCUCGUGCGAAGGAAAAUUUGCUAUACUAGAUUUAUCAAAUGCACGUACUAGUCUCCUAUAAUCGUUUUGCAUACCUCCUAUGAUAUUUUGCAUUUGUUCUCGCUGUUCAUCUACAUAAUUCUUAAGAGAUUGUAGCUCGUUUGUAUUACUUACAUUGGGGAUAUCUGGUGUGGGUCGGAGCGAAGCCAGAUCUGUCGCCCGUUGUCGGACGACUUUAUUGUUCCUGUCAACCUUGAAGUUGGCCAGAAAUUUUGCUCUCACCUCUUGAAUCAGCUGCUCUUUAUGCUCCUCGAACUGGAGCUGUUCGUCAGCCGGCAAGGUUUCCCAAGUCGGCUCUAUAAUGUUGCUGGAGGAGACUUCAGAACUAUCCCUUCAACCGACCAUUGAGGGCCGAUUUGAUGGGUCUAGACGUGUUGUCCCCAGUGGAGUCGCCAAAAUGUAUGUUGACACCUUUUUAGGGCGCCAAUCACUCAACACGAACCAGCGGUGGUGCUCUCUGCAUAGGGGCGGACGGUCCGCGGCCAGGGGCCGGACGGUCCACGGCCUGGCGCGAGGCUAGGGUUCCUGCUUGACGACCGGACGGUCCGCGCGUGCGCAGGGGCGGCGGAAGAUCGCCGGCGGCGCCUGGAUCUCGCUCCCGGGAGGGACCCCGUCGGGGAGGAGAGAUCCUAGGUGAUGUCUAGGCUCGGGCAGACCGACCUAGACUCCUCUAAUCGACGUAGAGUCGAAGAGAAGCGGAGAAUUUGGGGUUUGAGAGGCUAAACUAGAACUAGACUAGAACUACUCCUAAUUGUACAAGAAAUAAAUGCGAAAUAGAAGUGUUGUUGAUUCGAUUGAUAAUUCCAAAUCGGCCGUAUACCUCUCUAUUUAUAGAGGAGGGGGGCUGGACCCUUUACAAACUAAUUUCCGAGCUAAUUCCGUGAAUCUAGCUAACAACCGUAGCACAAAACUCGGAACCCUAAACUGCCCUGCGCACGCAGGAACCGUCCAGCCCACAGGCGCGGACCGUCCGGACCGCGGACCGUUCGGCCUCAGGGCCGGACCGUCCGCCAGCUCAAUCUAGUGCUGAAUAAUAUGUUGACAUAACAAAUUCAUAUUUUUCUAUAGUUAGAUAAGAAAAGGAUACUAAUAUAUUACAACACAAAGACAAUUAAUAAAUUAUAGAUAAAUUAUAAGAGAACAGAUAUAAUGUGUCUGUGCCACACGGCUAGCACAUCGCCUGAUGCGACUCUAAUUUUCAGGCACCUGACGUUUAGGAAAAGUGGAAAAUAAAAGCCACAGCCACAGUUUUUUUAAUAAUGAAAAUAGCCACAGUUUGUAUCGUCACAAAUUACAUACCAGAGGUUUAUCGGAGGAAUAUGUGUUGGCAAUUGUUAUUAACAAAGAAAUAACAGUAUAAGUGAAAUGGUAUAAAUGGAACCAUCUGCCUCCCAAGUCCCAAAUAGAGAACCGAGGGGCAGCAUCAGCAUUGGAUUUGCUUCUGACUGGGUGCUGACUCUCAGAAGACGAGGGUGUCGCGUUGGGCCAAGGUGACCAUGAGCUCGCGGUACCUGUUUACGACAUGAAAUGUCUUUUUAGAUAAAAUAUAGGAAACCUUAUUCGUUGUGCUGAAGAAUGAAAUAGCGAAGCCUUUACCUUAUCAUUUCUUUCAAGUGGCAAGCCUAAAGAAGCAACUUCAAUACUAGUGAGUAGCGUAAGACUAUGUUCAUCGGUUCCAGUGGCGGGCCCAAGAUUUAGAGGGUGGGUAUUCAAAAUUUUUUAUAAGAUAGUUUUUUUGAAGAUUAAAACAUGUCUAUCUAUAUAUAUAAUUAAUUAUAUAUAUGUAUAACCUAUAAUUAAGCAUACACGCUAUGGUCAUAACUGAUUCAAUAACUAGUCUACUAAACUCAAAUUUCAUGAAAUUAUAUCAAAAGUUUUAAAUCGAAAUGCAUCUGUUUGUUGUUGCUCGGUUGCUGGCUGGCUACUUGUCCUCUUUGGCAUUUUCCAAUCGCUAAUGCCCCACUUACAUCCCAGUACUGCAAACAGCAAAUCAGGGGAGGUCAAGGUCGGGUGGCCACAUGAUAGGUGGGCUUGGACAUCGACACGAUGGGACCUUGCCCCCUAGCUGUCUGUCUUGGCACGCUGUGACGCGCCUGACUAUGGUGAAUUGAAGCCUCAGACGACGGACGACAGACGAUGCAACAACGAGGCCAGAUGCAACGCAAUGACAGUUAGCCGGUCAAGUCUAGGUAUCUAGCUAUGCUGCGGAGCCACAAUGGCGCAACGGAGGUGUUGGUGUCUCCAUGGCCCGUAAGACGUGACCACGACUUGGUAGCUGGCCCAUCUGAUGGCUCUGCCAUGGUGCGACUACAAUACGGUUUGGAGAUUUUUUUUUGCCGUGAGGUGCUGAGGUGGGCUUUGUCGCUCUGUUGGGCCUCAUGGUACACGACAAACUAUUAGGUUAGUUAGGUAUGAGAAAUAGGAAAGAGAUAUUUUGGUCCAAAUUAACAUAAUUCCUUUAUUUAUUUGAUUCAUUUUCUAUCUAUGCAUAUACACUAUAUACAUGUAUAUAUACUGAAGUUCUUUUGCCAAAAUAAUGGGUAUUCAUUUGAAUACCCUUGAAUUGAAUGAGGCCCGCCCCUGACCGGUUCCCCCUAAAUUUCUCCCCCUAUAUCCCAUCACAUGCCACAUCAGCAUUCUCUUCCCCCUAUAUCUCCACGCUCUACAGCGGUUCCCUCUAUAUCAAACCUCUAUAUCCCACCACACCAAUAUUAUAUACAUUCCUAUUCAAAUAUUCGGUCGGCUGUUGCACAAACAAAUACCUGUGAGCGUUGGUGGGCGGUGGCGAACAGAGAUAGCAGCUCCUCAAAUCUAGAGGGAAAGAGAGUAUUUGAGAGCACCUAGAGGGGGGUGAAUAGGUGAUCCUGUGAAACUUGAAAACUUAAUGCCACAAAACUUGGUUAGGCGUUAGCACAAUAAUGCCAAGUGGCUAGAGAGGAGUCUCAACAAAACACAAUAACCACAAGAUAUCAACACAGAGAUGGCACAGUGGUUUAUCCCGUGGUUCGGCCAAGACCAACGCUUGCCUACUCCACGUUGUGGCGUCCCAACGGACGAGGGUUGCAAUCAACCCCUCUCAAGCGGUCCAAAGACCCACUUGAAUACCACGGUGUUUUGCUUUGCUUUUCUUUAUCCCGCUUGCGAGGAAUCUCCACAACUUGGAGUCUCUCGCUCUUACACUUGAAGUUCACAAAGAAGCACGGAGUAAGGGAGGGAUGAGCAACUCACACAAGACACAAAGAUCACAGCAAGUACGCACACACAAGACCCAGACUUAAGCUCAAGAGACUAUCACAAGUUUCUCACUAGAACGGAGCUCAAAUCACUAAGAAUGUCGAACAAGUGCGCACGAACGAAGUGUGAGUGAUCAACUAUGCUCAAGGAAUGCUUGGAUUUCUUCUCCAUGCGCCAAGGGGUCCCUUUUAUAGCCCCAAGGCAGCUAGGAGCCGUUGAGAGCAUUGUAGGAAGGCAAAUCUUGCCUUCUGUCGACUGGCGUACCGGACAGUCCGGUGCACCACCGGACACCGUCCGGUGCGGAUUUCCUUCCUUAUUUGGCGAAGCCGACCAUUGGAGUUUGAGAGCCGUUGGCGCACCGGACACUGUCCGGUGCACACCGGACAGUCCGGUGCCCCCUCCCGACCGUUGGCUCGGCCACGUGUCUUGCGCGGAUCGCGCGGCCGACCGUUGGCCCGACCGACCGUUGGCUCACCGGACAGUCCGGUGAAUUAUAGCCGUACGCCGUUAAUCACUUCCUGAGAGCAGCAAGUUCGCCUGAGCCAGCCUGGCGCACCGGACACUGUCCGGUGCACCACCGGACACUGUCCGGUGCACCCAGACUGAGCACACUUUGGCUGAACAAAGUCAUCUUUUCUCCAACUUGUUUUCUCCUGUUUCCAGCACUUAGACACAAUACAUUAGUCCAUAAAACAAUGUACUAAGUCUAGAAACAUACCUUUACUUUUGAUUUGCACUUUGCCCAUCACUUUGGAUACUUUAACACUUGAGCACUUGUGUUGGCACUCAAUCACCAAAAUACUUAGAAAUGGCCCAAGGGCACAUUUCCCUUUCAAUCUCCCCCUUUUUGGUGAUUUAUGCCAACACAACAUAAAGCAACUAGAACAAGUGCAAUAUCAAUGCAAAUGAAAACUCAAAAUUGUUUUGAUUCAGAUUUGGCAUAUGUGGAUCACUCUUUGCCGCCACUUGGUUUGUUUUUGCAAAUCAAACUCAAUUUCCUAUCUUUAAGUCAAAUUCAUUUGUAGAGACAUAAAGAGAGGUGUUCCAAUAGAAAUUGAUCACAGUAUCAAAAACUCCCCCUAUUUCCCAUAAUCAACCAUUCUCCCCACAAGAGACCAACUUUUGACAAAAAGAGCCAAUAAGAGUAUUUUGACAAAAAGCUCUAUUCUAUUAUUUUCAAAAUUCUCAAGUGGUAGCUGAUCCAUUUAUUGCUUUGGCCUUAUUUUCUCCCCCUUUGGCAUCAAGCACCAAAACGGGAUCAAUUUUGGCCCUAGAACCCCAUUGCCUCACCAAAAUCUUCAAAUAAGAAUACAAAGGCAAUGAGAUGAACUUGGAAUAAGUUACCCUCUCAUCGGAGUGCAGUGGAAGUCUUUUAUGGUCCAAGUCCACCUUUUCCCUUUCAGACCUCUUUUGAGACUAAAUCAAGCAAACUCAAGCACAUGGUUAGUCUCAAAGGGUCAAGUUGUAGCACAACUCCCCCUAAAUAUGUGCAUCACUUGCAAAAGGACUUGUGAGGUCCGGGGAGUGUUUGUACAACUUGAGCACCACAAGUAAACAACAAAAUGCAUAAGGAACAUGAUCAAAGGCAUAAACACAUGUAUGCUAUAAAUCAAUCCAAGUUCCGCGAAUCUAAGACAUUUAGCUCACUACGCAGCCUGCAAAAGGUCUUCUCAUCUAAAGGCUUGGUAAAGAUAUCGGCUAGCUGGUUCUCGGUGCUAACAUGAAACACUUCGAUAUCUCCCUUUUGCUGGUGGUCUCUCAAAAAGUGAUGCCGGAUGUCUAUGUGCUUUGUGCGUCUGUGUUCAACAGGAUUAUCGGCUAUGCGGAUAACACUCUCAUUAUCACAUAGGAGUGGGACUUUGCUCAGAUUGUAGCCAAAGUCCCUGAGGGUUUGCCUCAUCCAAAGUAGUUGCACGCAACACUGUCCUGCGACAACAUACUCGGCCUCAGCGGUGGAUAGGGCAACGGAAGUUUGUUUCUUAGAACUCCAUGACACCAGGGACCUUCCUAAGAAUUGGCACGUCCCCGAUGUACUCUUCCUAUCGACCUUACAUCCAGCAUAGUCGGAGUCUGAAUAUCCAAUCAAGUCAAAGGUAGACCCCUUUGGAUACCAGAUCCCGAAGCAAGGCGUAGCGACUAAAUAUCUAAGAAUUCGCUUCACAGCCACUAAGUGACACUCCCUUGAAUCAGAUUGAAAUCUAGCACACAUGCAUACGCUAAGCAUAAUAUCCGGUCUACUAGCACAUAAAUAAAGACCCUAUCAUAGACCGGUAUGCCUUUUGAUCAACAGACUUACCUCCUUUGUUGAGGUCGGUGUGUCCGUCGGUUCCCAUUGGAGUCUUUGCGAGCUUGGCGUCCUUCAUCCCAAACCGCUUGAUCAAGUCUUGCGUGUACUUUGUUUGGGAGAUGAAGGUCCCAUCCUUGAGUUGCUUCACUUGGAACCCAAGGAAGUAGCUUAACUCGCCCAUCGUCGACAUCUCAAACUUUUGAGUCAUCACCCUGCUAAACUCUUCACAAGACUUUUGGUUAGUAGAACCAAAUAUUAUGUCAUCGACAUAUAUUUGGCAUACAAAAAGAUCACCAUCACAUGUCUUAGUAAAAAGAGUUGGAUCGGCUUUCCCAACCUUGAAAGCAUUAGCAAUUAAAAAGUCUCUAAGGCAUUCAUACCAUACUCUUGGGGCUUGCUUAAGUCCAUAGAGCGCCUUAGAGAGCUUACACACGUGGUCGGGGUACCGUUCAUCCUCGAAGCCAGGGGGUUGCUCCACGUACACCUCCUCCUUGAUUGGCCCGUUGAGAAAAGCGCUCUUCACAUCCAUUUGAAACAACCUGAAAGAAUGAUGAGCGACAUAUGCUAGCAAAAUACGAAUAGAUUCUAGCCUAGCCAUAGGAGCAAAAGUCUCCUCAAAGUCCAAACCUGCGACUUGGGCAUAACCUUUUGCCACAAGUCGAGCCUUGUUCCUUGUCACCACCCCGUGCUCGUCUUGUUUGUUGCGGAACACCCACUUGGUUCCCACAACAUUUUGCUUGGGACGAGGCACCAGUGUCCAAACUUCAUUUCUCUUGAAGUUGUUGAGCUCCUCUUGCAUGGCCAACACCCAAUCCGGAUGUAGCAAGGCCUCCUCUACCCUGAAAGGCUCAAUAGAAGAGAUAAAGGAGUAAUGCUCACAAAAAUUAACUAAUCGAGACCGAGUAGUUACUCCCUUGCUAAUGUCGCCCAAAAUCUGGUCGACGGGAUGAUCCCUUUGAAUCAUCGCUCAAACUUGGGUUGGAGGUGCCUGUUGUGCUUCUUCCUCCAUUACAUGGUCAUCUUGUGCUCCCCCUUGAUCACACGCCUCUUCUUGAUGAACCUGUUCAUCGUCUUGAGUUGGGGAAUGCACCAUUAUUGAGGAAGAAGGUUGAUCUUGCUCCAAUUGUUCUUGUGGUCGCACAUCUCCAAUCGCCAUGGUGCGUAUUGCGGCCGUUGGAACAUCUUCUUCAUCUAUAUCAUCAACAUCAACAACUUGCUCUCUUGGAGAGCCAUUAGUCUCAUCAAAUACAACGUCGCUAGAGACUUCAACCAAACCCGAUGAUUUGUUGAAGACUCUAUACGCCUUUGUAUUUGAGUCAUAACCUAAUAAAAAACCUUCUACAGCUUUGGGAGAAAACUUAGAAUUUCUACCUUUCUUCACUAGAAUGUAGCAUUUGCUCCCAAAUACACGAAAGUAAGACACAUUGGGUUUGUUACCGGUUAGAAGCUCAUACGAGGUCUUCUUGAGGAGGCGAUGAAGGUAGACCCGGUUGAUGGCGUGGCAAGCCGUGUUCACGGCUUCCGACCAAAAGCGCUCAGGGGUCUUGAACUCUCCAAGCAUCGUCCUCGCCAUAUCGAUGAGCGUCCUGUUCUUCCUCUCUCCCACACCAUUUUGCUGUGGUGUGUAGGGAGCAAAGAACUCGUGCUUGAUCCCUUCCUCGUCAAGGAAUUCCUCCACUUGAAGGUUCUUGAACUCGGACCCAUUGUCGCUCCUUAUCUUCUUCACCUUGAGCUCAAACUCAUUUUGAGCUCUCCUUAGGAAGGGCUUGAGGGUCCCUUGGGUUUCAGAUUUAUUCUGCAAAAAGAAUACCCAAGUGAAGCGGGAAAAAUCAUCAACUAUAACAAGACCAUACUUACUUCCUCCUAUGCUUAGAUAGGCGACGGGUCCGAAGAGGUCCAUAUGAAGCAUCUCUAAAGGUCUUGAUGUGGUCAUCACAUUUUUGGUGUGAUGAGAGCUUCCCACCUGUUUGCCUGCUUGACAAGCUGCACAAGGUCUAUCUUUUUCGAAAUGCACAUUAGUUAGACCUAUCACGUGUUCUCCCUUUAGAAGCUUGUGAAGGUUCUUCAUCCCCACAUGUGCUAAACGGUGGUGCCACAGCCAGACCAUGCAAGUCUUAGCAAUUAAGCAUGCAUCUAGACUGGCCUCCUCUUUUGCAAAAUCAACCAAAUAAAGUUUGUCGUCUAGUACACCCUUAAAAGCUAAUGAACCAUCACUUCUUCUAAAGACAGACACAUCUACAUUUAUGAAUAAACAGUUAUAUCCCAUAUUACAAAGUUGACUCACAGACAACAAGUUAUAUCAAAGUGACUCAACUAAGAACACAUUAGAAAUAGAGUGCUCGGAUGAAAUAGCAAUUUUUCCUAACCCUUUCACCUUGCCUUGGUUCCCAUCACCGAAUAUGAUUGAAUCUUGGGGAUCCUUGUUCUUGACGUAGGAAAAGAACAUUUUCUUUUCCCCCGUCAUGUGGUUUGUGCAUCCGCUGUCGAUAAUCCAGCUUGAGCCCCCGGAUGCAUAAACCUGCAAGGCAAAUUUAGGCUUGGGUCUUAGGUACCCAACUCAUGUUGGGUCCUACAAGGUUAGUCACAAUGGUCUUAGGGACCCAAAUGCAAGUUUUAUCUCCUUUGCAUCUUGCCCCUAAUUUCCUAGCUAUUACCUUCUUAUCCUUUCUACAAAUGGUAAAUGAAGCAUUGCAAGCAUGAUAUAUUGUUGAAAGUUCAUUAAUUUUCCUAGGAACAUUAACAACAUUUCUCCUAGGCUUAUGAUGAACAACAUUUCUCCUAGACAUAUCUCUACCAUGCAUAUAGGAAGAACUAGAAUCAAACAUGGCAUGAGAAUCAAAAGCAUUAUAACUUCUAUAGGCAUUCCUAGAAUGUCUCCUAUCAUGAUACAUGUAAGCAUGGUUCUUUUUAGCACUACUAGCCAUAGGGGCCUUCCCUUUAUCCUUGGCGGAGAUGGGAGCCUUAUGGCUUGUUAAGUCCUUGGCUUCCCUCUUGAAGCCAAGUCCAUCCUUAAUUGAGGGGUGUCUACCAAUCGUGUAGGCAUCCCUUGCAAAUUUUAGCUUGUCAAAUUCACUUUUGCUAGUCUUAAGUUGGGCAUUAAGACUAGCCAAUUCAUCAUUCAAUUUGGAAAUUGAAACUAGGUGUUCACUACCAGCAUCAAUGUCAAAAUCUUUACACCUAUUGCAAAUCAUAACAUGUUCUACACAAGAGUUAGAUUUACUUGCUACUUCUAGUUUAGCAUUUAAAUUAUCAUUAACACCUUUUAAAGUAGAAAUGGUUUCAUGACAAGUAGAUAGUUCACAAGAAAGCAUUUCAUUCCUUUUAACUUCUAGAGCAAGUGAAUUUUGUGCACUAACAAAUUUAUCAUGCUCUUCAUAUAAAAGGUCCUCUUGUUUCUCUAAAAGUCUAUCCUUUUCAUUCAAGGCAUCAAUCAAUUCAUUAAUCUUAUCUAUUUUAGUUCUAUCCAAUCCCUUGAACAAACUAGAGUAAUCUAUUUCUUCAUCACUAGACUCAUCAUCACUAGAAGAAUCAUAAGUGGCAUUGUUUCGAGUACAUACCUUUUUCUCCUUCGCCAUGAGGCAUGUGUGACGCUCGUUGGGAAAGAGGGAUAACUUGUUGAAGGCGGUGGCGGCGAGUCCUUCAUUGUCGGAGUCGGAUGACGAACAAUCCGAGUCCCACUCCUUCCCAAGGUGUGCCUCGCCCUUAGCCUUCUUGUAUGCCUUCUUCUUUUCCCUCUUGUUCCCUUUUUCCUGGUCACUAUCAUUAUCGGGACAGUUAGCAAUAAAAUGACCAAUCUUACCACAUUUGAAGCAUGAGCGCUUCCCCUUUGUCUUGGUCUUGCUUGGUUGUCCCUUGUGACCCUUUAGCGUCGUCUUGAAGCGCUUGAUGAUGAGUGCCAUCUCUUCAUCAUUGAGCCUUGACGCCUCAACUUGUGCCACCUUGCUAGGUAGCGCCUCCUUGCUUCUCGUUGCCUUGAGAGCAACGGGUUGAGGUUCAUUGAUUGGACCAUUCAACGCGUCGUCCACGUAUCUCGCCUCCUUGAUCAUCAUUCGCCCGCUUACGAACUUCCCAAGAACUUAUUUGGGCGACAUCUUGGUGUACCUAGGAUUUUCACGAAUAUUGUUCACCAGAUGUGGAUCAAGUACAGUAAAGGACCUUAGCAUUAGGCGAACGACAUCAUGAUCCGUACAUCGCGUGCUUCCGUAGCUCCUUAUCUUGUUGAUGAGGGUCUUGAGCCAGUUGUAUGUUUGGGUUGGCUCCUCUCCCCUUAUCAUUGCAAAUCUCCCAAGCUCGCCCUCCACCAACUCCAUCUUGGUAAGCAUGGUGACGUCGUUCCCCUCAUGUGAGAUCCUGAGGGUGUCCCAGAUCUGCUUGGCAUUGUCUAAGCCGCUCACCUUAUUGUACUCUUCCCUGCACAAGGAUGCUAAAAGGACAGUAGUAGCUUGUGCAUUUUUAUGGAUUUGUUCAUUUAUAAACAUUGGACUAUCCGAGCUGUCAAAUUUCAUUCCACUUUCAACAAUCUCCCAUAUGCUUGGAUGUAGAGAGAACAAGUGACUACGCAUUUUGUGACUCCAAAAUCCGUAGUCCUCCCCAUCAAAGUGUGGAGGUUUGCCAAGAGGAAUGGAAAGCAAAUGUGUAUUUGAGCUAUGCGGAAUACGCGAAUAAUCGAAAGAGAAGUUUGAGUUAACCGUCUUUCUCUUGUCGUAGUCGUUGUUAUCGUUGUCCUUUUGGGAAGAAGUGGACUCGUCGCUGUCGUCGUAGUAGACGAUCUCCUUGAUGCGCCUUGUCUUCUUCUUCUUCCCAUCUUUACGUUUGUGGCCCGAGCCCGAGUCGUUAGGCUUGUCAUCCUUCGGCUCGUUGACGAAGGACUCCUUCUCCUUAUCGUUGAUCACGAUUCCCUUCCCCUUAGGAUCCAUCUCUUCGGGCGAUUAGUCCCUUCGUGAAGAGAACGACUCUGAUACCAAUUGAGAGCACCUAGAGGGAGGGGGGGUUGAAUAGGUGAUCCUGUGAAACUUGAAAACUUAAUGCCACAAAACUUGGUUAGGCGUUAGCACAAUAAUGCCAAGUGGCUAGAGAGGAGUCUCAACAAAACACAAUAACCACAAGAGAUCAACACAGAGAUGGCGCAGUGGUUUAUCCCGUGGUUCGGCCAAGACCAAUGCUUGCCUACUCCACGUUGUGGCGUCCCAAUGGACGAGGGUUGCAAUCAACCCCUCUCAAGCGGUCCAAAGACCCACUUGAAUACCACGGUGUUUUGCUUUGCUUUUCUUUAUCCCGCUUGCGAGGAAUCUCCACAACUUGGAGUCUCUCGCUCUUACACUUGAAGUUCACAAAGAAGCACGGAGUAAGGGAGGAAUGAGCAACUCACACAAGACACAAAGAUCACAGCAAGUACGCACAUACAAGACCCAGACUUGAGCUCAAGAGACUAUCACAAGUUUCUCACUAGAACGGAGCUCAAAUCACUAAGAAUGACGAACAAGUGCGCAAGAACGAAGUGUGAGUGAUCAACUAUGCUCAAGGAAUGCUUGGAUUUCUUCUCCAUGAGCCAAGGGGUCCCUUUUAUAGCCCCAAGGCAGCUAGGAGCCGUUGAGAGCAUUGUAGGAAGGCAAAUCUUGCCUUCUGUCGACUGGCGCACCGGACAGUCCGGUGCGGAUUUCCUUCCUUAUUUGGCGAAGCCGACUGUUGGAGUUUGAGAGCCGUUGGCGCACCGGACACUGUCCGGUGCACACCGGACAGUCCGGUGCCCCCUCCCGACUGUUGGCUCGGCCACGUGUCUUGCGCGGAUCGCGCGGCCGACCGUUGGCCCGACCGACCGUUGGCUCACCGGACAGUCCGGUGCACACCGGACAGUGCGGUGAAUUAUAGCCGUACGCCGUUAAUCACUUCCCGAGAGCAGCAAGUUCGCCUGAGCCAGCCUGGCGCACCGGACACUGUCCGGUGCACCACCGGACAGUCCAGUGCACCCAGACUGAGCAAACUUUGGCUGAACAAAGUCAUCUUUUCUCCAACUUGUUUUCUCUUGUUUCCAACACUUAGACACAAUACAUUAGUCCAUAAAACAAUGUACUAAGUCUAGAAACAUACCUUUACUUUUGAUUUGCACUUUGCCCAUCACUUUGGAUACUUUAACACUUGAGCACUUGUGUUGGCACUCAAUCACCAAAAUAUUUAGAAAUGGCCCAAGGGCACAUUUCCCUUUCAGUAUUCCCGUCGCGUAGAGGGAGGUGGAGAGGGAACCGCUGAACACUAUAGGGGGCGUCCGACGGCUACAGGGAUAGGGGAGGGGGAGGUCAGCGAGAACCGUUGAAAGCAGUCUAAGCGCUUCCAGCGGAUGUGUGGAAUCUUUGGUCAGGUUAGGGCUUGUUCGUUUCCGGCUGAAUUCACGUGGAUUGGACAGGAUUCUGUCGGUUUAAAUCUAUAGCAAGUCAAAAUUUCUACUAAUUUUUUCUAAUCUCAUCCAAUCCAUGUGGUAUAAGAAUAACCGAACAAGACCUUACAGGGUCGGGCCUAGGCAUGUGCGAGCCGUGCGCUCGCACAGGGCCUCCAAAAACUGAGGGCCCCAAAACUUAGCAGAUGUAUAUAUUUUAGUUUUAUAAUCUUCUACACAUGUUAAUAUGUAGCACAUAUUUUUCUCCCUACCAUACAUCUACGCUGAAGUGAAACUACCAAACGCUGCACUAAAGAAUAAAUCUUCAUAGAAUCUUAACAUAUCUGUCCGCGUGAACAAAGUUCUCUAAAUUAAAGCUACUAAAUUUAUAUUUGUGUUCUACUAUGAUAAAAAAAAGACGUAUUAUCUAGCCACAAUAACACUCGAGAGUGAAGCUUUGGAGAAGAUCGAAUAUAAGCAUAUUGUACAAGAUUUUCUUUAAAACCCACAAAAAAACAAUGUUAUUCAAAUAAAAUAGAAAUGUUUCUUUAGAUAUUAUAUUGCAAUAUAUAUUAUUGUAACUUGCAGAUUGUUAUUACUGAUUUUUAAUAAAAAUAUAUAUUACACUGCUUUAGAUUUGGCACAGGGUCUCAAAUUUCUCCGGCCCGGCCCUGAGACCUUACUAUAUUAGGUUCUCAGCAUCUAUUCUUCAAGACAUCACAAUCUAUUAUCCUUAUGCACCGGAGAGAUGGCAAUACGCUGCAGACUUGAGAGAGAUUUCAGAUCUGUUGACAGGGAAGCCUUUGAUCGCCGUCCCCGCCUCGUUCUUGCUUGCUAGGGGCUAAAACCACACGUGGUUGUUCGGUUAAGCCAAUCCAAAAAAAGAUCAGAGAGGAUUAAAUCCUCUCUUAGUUAAAAUUAAAUAGAGAGAGAUUUAAUUCCCUUUAAUUCCCUUCUCGAUCGGUCUAACCGAAUAAAUCCUGAACUAGUUACAUUCAUCGACUAGCAGCAAGCAUGUAUCACACCAGGCAUGUCCCCUACAAAGGUCACCGUGAACGAGCUCCAGCAUGUCCCCUCCGUGAUACUAGGCUGCCUUGGUGAAAUGAGCUUCCUCCCGCCAAACAUGUAGCACACCAUCUGCUACCUUGCCAUCCGCGCGAGCACAUCGAAGUUCAGGUGCUCCAAGUGGGCAUGCUGCAACAACUGCUCCUCGUUGUGCCACUGCCACGCCACCAAGCACACUGGCAGUGGCUGCACAAUGUUCAGAUCAACCAUGUACAGGUGUAAGAUGAUGCAGACUCCCUGCUUUCGAUGGAGGCUCAACAGGAGGUUGUGGACAAGAACGCAGGAAAUAGAAGUGGGAAGGGGCUGGUGGCGUUCCGGACGCUGGAGAGUUCCUCCAGUGCGCCCCAGGCAACCUCCUAGGACUAGGAUAUUUUCUUCUUUUGAUAAUCCCUAGUACAAACUACCUCUGGUCUCUUAUGGACUGAGCCUAGGUUAAUAUAGAAACAAAUCAUAUCACUCUCAACUUGCUAGAAAACAGACUGACUAAAUAUAGAAACUUAUCUGCUGUCUCUUUUAUUCCUUAUUUGCUGACUGACUAAAUAUAGAAACUUAUCUGUUGUCUCUUUUAUUCCUUAUCUCAUGUUUCCUUUAUUCCUGGAGAUUCCUUCUCUGGUAUACCUUUCCUACAAAUGCAUCGGUAUCAUUUCCCCCUCCCCCAAAAACAGGUCGUCCGCGACCUGGAGACCAGGAAAACGGCGACGAAAGUCCUCCAGCUGAACCCAGGUUGCAUCAGCUGCUGAUUGUCCUAGCCAUUGCACGAGCAGUUUCCACAUACCUCGGUUCUUGCGUGCCUUAGUAACCUUCUCAGGCUGAGGCAGGACUGCCAUGUAAUAUUGGGGGUAGAGGAACUAUUGCAGCCGAGGGAGCCCUCGUAUAUUUCUUUAGUAAAGAGACACAAAACACAUUAUGGAUGCGGGCGUGAGAUGGCAGGGCAAGCCUGUAAGAUACUGUCCCAAUUUCCUCCAGAACCUGAUAGGGACCAUAGAAGCGAGGCCCAAGCUUAGAGUAGGCGGCUGGUGUGAUUCCUAAAGCUGUACACUGUUGCAGUCGAACCCACACCCAAUCCCCGACAGUGAACUGCACUUCCCUUCGAGACUUAUCCUGGAAUUGUUUCAUUGUGAGCUGAGCCUGUAUGAGGCGUUCCUUGAUCUGAGCUAAAAAUUCAUCCCGAUCUUGUAACUGAGUGUCAAUAGCAGCUACAGGGGGAAGUCCCGGUUGGUAAGAGAUAAUAGCUGGAGGGUCUCGUCCAUACACAACCCGAAAUGGUGAACAGCGAAGGGUUGUUUGAAAUGAAGUGUUAUAAGUUAUAACAGUACUCCGCCUAGGACAACCACUGUAACCAUGUGCGUGGUCGAUCCCCAGCUAAGCAUCGCAAGUACAUAAAGAUGAUCCGGUUAGUAACUUCAGAUUGGCCAUCGGACUGUGGGUGGAACGCUGAACUCAUCUGCAACUUGACCCCUGUCCUGGUGAACACCUCAGUCCAAAAUGUACUAGUGAAAAUUGGAUCAUGAUCACUGACGAUGGAGCAAGGAAUACCAUGGUGAUGAACAAUAUGAUCAAAGAAAGCCUUAGCUACCGAAGAUGUUGUAUAGGGAUGGCUGAGAGGCAUGAAAUGAGCAUACUUUGAGAAGCGGUCCACCACGGUAAGAAUAACUGAUUUGCCUCCAACCUUUGGAAACCCCUCCACGAAAUCCAUGGCUAUAUCGCUCCAAACCCCUGAAGGAACCGGAAGUGGCUGUAACAAACCUGCCGGAUGAAGGUGUUCGGACUUAUUACGUUGACAGACUGAACAACCCUUGACAAAAUCUCUUAUGCGGCUGACAGCAAGGGGACUAUGGAAGGAAGCCCUCCAAAGGUUGAGGGACUUUUCGAUGCCCUCGUGGCCUUCUUCAUGAACUGAAGCUAACAACAGGGGCCACAUGGAUGAGGCAUAUAGCACAAAAAAAAUUCCCUUGAACAGUAAGAGACCAUCAACCUCGGACCACCCUUCCUUCGCAGUUCCAGCCACCAACUGCUGCCUGAGCGCAACCGCCUGUAAAUCAGAUCCCAUCUCAGCCCGUAGAGUGUCAAACAGAGCAAAUGUGGGGGUGGAAAUACUGUGUAGGUUCAGCAGGACUUCAUCUCUGCGAGACAACGCAUCAGCAGCUCCAUUGAGUUUGCCCGGCUUGUACUCAAUUGUCAUGUCAUACCCAAAUGAUUUGCUGACCCAUGUAUGUUGAGGGAUGGUGGAUAACCGUUGGUCUAGGAUGAAUUUCAAGCUGUAGUGAUCAGUCUGAACUGUGAACGGUCGCCCCCAGAGAUAUGGACGCCAAUACCUGACAGCUUUAACCAAGCCAAUCAAUUUUCGUUCAUAUGCUGGCAGCUUUUGAUGAUGAGGGGCUACUGGCCUACUGCAGAAAGCUAUGUUGCCCUCACCUUGAUGUAAGAUAGCCCCAAACCCAACUCCAGAAGCAUCACAAUCAACAAUAAAGCGACGAGUGAAGUCUGGCAUCUGCAGAAAUGGUGUUGUGAUGAGGGCUUGUUUGAGCAAUGUAAAAGCCUCGGCUGCUUCCGGUGUCCAACGAAAAGACUCCCUUUUCAAUAAGGCGGUGAGAGGUGUUGCUAUUGUUCCAUAUCCAGCAAUAAACUUCCGAUAAUAUCCGGUUAGUCCCAAAAAACCUCUGAGAGCUCGCAAACUAUUAGGAAGUGGUCAGGUUUCCACUGCAAAAACUUUGUCGGGAUCCAUGGCGACCCCUGUUGCAGAUAUGAUAUGUCCGAGAUAGGCUACUGUAGCAGCCCCGAACAAGCAUUUGGAGCGUUUCAGGACAAGUUCAUGGUCACGGAGGGUCUGUAGAACCAACUUGACAUGCUGCAGAUGGGUUGUCCAGCUAUUACUGUAAAUGAGGAUAUCAUCAAAAAAUACCAGCACGAACUUUCUGAUAAAUGGUUUCAAUAUGUCAUUCAUCAAGCUCUGAAAUGUAGAUGGGGCGUUAGUGAGCCCAAAGGGCAUGACUAGGAACUCAAAAUGGCCACGAUGGGUGCGGAACGCUGUUUUUUUCCACAUCUGCUGGGUACAUGCGUACUUGAUGGUAGCCACUUCUUAAAUCUAACUUGGUAAAGAAUACAGCACCACGGAGUUCAUCCAAUAAUUCAUCGACCACUAGAAUUGGAAAUUUGUCCUUUACUGUUUUGUCAUUAAGGGCGCGAUAAUCCACACAAAACCUCCAGGAACCAUCAGACUUUUUCACAAGAAGCACUGGGGAUGAAAAAGCGGAGGUGCAUUCUCUAAUGAUACCUUGCUGUAACAUAGCGUCACACUGUUGCUCUAUUUCAUCCUUCAACAAUUGAGGGUACCGAUAUGGUCAUACUGCCACAGGUGGAGUACCGGGCAGUAAUCUGAUCUUGUGGUCAUGGCGGCGAGAUGGAGGGAGGUCGUGAGGUUCUCUGAAAAUAUCCUCAAAGGAAUGGAGCAAAGCCUCCAUGAGAUCACCUCCUGAUGCUAAAGCUGCACACUGUGGUGGCAGAGCACCAAUUCCAGUCCACUGAAUGUUACUGCCUCGAUAUAAGAAUGACAUGGAGAGGGCCUCAAAAUUCCAUAAAAUUGGUCCGAGAGUGUGAAGCCAAUGGACACCUAAUACAAUGUCAAAUCCAUCCAAUGGUAGGGUAUAGAAGGAUAUUGAGAAAUCAGCUUCUCCAAUAACCAGAGGCAGUUGAGUGCACACACCCGCAGUAGUUACCCGAUCUCCGUUGGCCACCUUCACCGUCAGACCUUGACGAGGUUCAACUUGAAGCUGCAGCUGGCUGACCACAGAAUCAUUGAUGAAGGAAUGUGUCGAACCAGUGUCCACGAGGGCCACUAACUGACAGCCAUACAAACAAACAGACAGUUUCAUGGUAGUGCCAAUAUCAAUACCGAUGAGAGCAUGGAGAGAGAUGCCAACAUCAUCCAAUGUUUCACCACCCUCAUCAUCUUCUGUUAAUUCCAGCAAGAAAACCCCUUUGUUUGCACAUCUGUGAUCGGCAGUAUACUUUUCAGUACAAUGGUAGCACUCACCACUAGCCCGCUUUGCUGCUAAUUCUUCACUGGAAAGACGCUUGAACCGAGGGCGUUGGUUGCCAACAACUGAUUUAAUAGGCGUACUCACGCCACGGGCUGCAGGGUGCGCCGUGGAGUGUGUGCUUACAGCCAGCGCCAUGCGACGCUCAUAUGCUCGAGCAAGGUUGAUUGCUGACUGCAAAUUAGUUGGCCCUUGGAGUUCGACGUCUGUCCUCAAUGGCUCACCCAAGCCAGCGGUGAAGAGGUUGGUCUGUUGACGCUGCGAAAGAUUGUCACAACGGCAAAGCAGCAAGGAAAAUUGACGUGUAUAAUCAUCCACUGUUCUAGUGCGAUAGAGAUCCUUGAGGUUAGCGAGGCCAUUCAUGCGCAGUGGGGGGCCCAACCUAAGAUUGAUCAAUUCGGAGAAACGGCCCCGGGUAAUGUCGUCGUAGUCGCGCUCGAUGGUGUAGUACCAUUCAGCGGCAACUUCGUCGAGGUGCAGGGACGCCAUCCAGACCCGUUCCUCGCGUAGUGUCCUCAUGCCGCGGAAGUAGAUAUCACAUUUUGUCAGCCACGCCAGGGGGUCCGAUUCGCCGUCAUAGGACGGAAAAUUGGGUCUGGGCCGAUGUGAGCUGUCCUCCCGACGGAAGGGGGCAUCCCCGCCGCCGUCGCCACCGCCCAACCCCUCCUUGAAGCGGCCGCCGUCGUUGGGGGGUUUUGGAACCCCUAAAGAUUCUUCCUCCGUGGGUGGAAUUUCCACGCGGGCAAGUCGACGAUCAUGAGAUUCGAGGCGUGUGUUGAUGGUGGUGAUUUGGGCUAGCAUUUGGGUUUGGUGAUCAAGGAUUUGGCGUAGGGAGUCAGCGAGUCCACACCCAUCAGGAUUCUGUCCAGUGCCGGACUCGAAAGUCAUGGCGCUGGCUGCCUCUGAUACCAAAUGAUGUAGAUUCCCUGCUUUCGAUGGAGGCUCAGCAGGAGGUUGUGGACAAGAACGCAGGAAAUAGGAGUGGGAAGGGGGAGGAGGAUUCCUGGUGGCGUUCCGGACGCUGGAGAGUUCCUCCGGUGCACCCCAGGCAACCUCCUAGGACUAGGAGAUUUUCUUCUUUUGAUAAUCCCUAGUACAAACUACCCCUGGUCUCUUAUAGACUGAGCCCAGGUUAAUAUAGAAACAAAUCAUAUCACUCUCAACUUGCUAGAAAACAGAAUGACUAAAUAUACAAAUUUAGUUGCUGUCUCUUUUAUUCCUUAUCUGAUGUUUCCUUUAUUCGUGCCGAUUCCUUCUCUUGUAUACCUUUCCUACAAAUGCAUCGGUAUCAUAAGAACCCUCACAGCACCCUGAAUUGGUACUAGAGCGAGGAGAUGAACACGUCCUCGAGCUCCAUCCAUGCUGCACAAAUGUUGCUCAUCGUCCGCCAACGACGAAUCUCCAGAAACACUUGGAGAGAUCCCAUCGUUGUGAUGGUUCCGUAAAGCCCAAGCUCCUUACGCUCUCACCCACACUCAAUCCAUGGCUAGAGGUAGAAGAAGAGUUGAGAACAUAGCACUACACAAGCACAAGUGCAGGAAAAUGAACUGCCUUCUCUAUUGCAUUGCCUAGAGUAUUUAUACAAUACUAGUAACAACUAUAAGGUACACUAGUACAUGGGUGAUCUUAGACCGAACUACUCCUGUAUGGCUUGCUGAUGCAUGCCACUACAGCGAAAGGGCCUCUAGCCUAGUGGUUAAGAACUUCCGAGUAGCACCUCCAAGUCCUGGGUUCGAUUCCCCUCGGGAGCGAAUUUCAGGCUUGGUUAAAAAAAUCCCCUCGCUGUACCCCAUCCGCUCUCGGGUUACGAUGUCCUGUGCGCCACCCUCCGGUUGAGCCGUUGCAGAGUGGACAGUUGACGCUGGCCUGUUAGUGAUGGGGGCCAGGGUUCGGGGAUUUUCUCGGCCGGGACCAUUGUUUCGGUCUCUUCUUAAUUUAAUACCGGGAGGGCGGUCUUUCCCUCCCCGGCCGAGUUUUUUGAUGCAUGCCACUACAUAUAGAUCGGCCUGUUGCCAUACUACUACAGCACCCUGAAUGAACAACAAGAUAAUAAAUGCCAACUCCAUGCUACAGCAAAAUAAUCAAGGGGCGCAUCAAAUUUUCUCGAAUAUAAAUUGCAGUCAGAAAACAAAGUUCAGAAAAGAAAUUAGAUUGCAGUUACUCCAAGAAUCGAGAGCUCGGACCUAGAUGCCCAUCCUGUCUACAAACUACAGCAGACAGCUAGACACCAGUCCUCUCGGGCUUUCGGCAUACUUGUGGUUGAGGAAAAAAGAAUUUCCUGGAGCUUGAAGCUACAGAAGUAAAUAAAAAUGCAGACCACACAACAGAGCACUUAAGAAAGGUAUACCUGCCAGCGACAAGAAUAGGAUGGAAGCACAAAUUUAAUUUAGAAACAUAUCUUGCCCAAUAUUCUUACUUUCUUCUAAGAAAGAUAGUAAAGGUAUGAGACAUUCCGGACUCCAUUUCGCCUCACAUAGGACCAAUUGUCACAUGAAAAAUAAAAGCCAUAGCCACAGUUAGUUACUUCAUUCUGUCGGAGAAAUACACAUUGGCAAUUGUUUAACAAUCAAGGAAUGAUAUAACAAGUGAAAUAGCGAAGCAAAUGCAAGCGAACCGCGGGGACGACAGCAUUAGCUGACGCAUUGGCUUCUGACUUGGUCCUGAACUCUGGAGCUUCAAGAGGAGAGAGCGUCGCGUUGGGGUGACAUCGAGGUGCCUGUUUAGAACAUAAAAUGUUUUAAAUAUUGGGAAACUCAUCAAUUGUGCAGGAAAAUGAAUAAGUAGAACCUGUACCUUCUCAUUCAUUUCAAGUGGCAAGUCUAAAGAAGCAAGUUUGGUAUUAGUAGAUGUGCUUCCAGCGAAGGUGCGAAAUCUUUGGCCAGCUUUCCCCAUCAGGUUCUUGGCAGUUCUUCUUCAAGACGGGACAAUACCGUAUAGUUAUGCGCUUGAGGGAGGAUGGCAGAUCAGGUAAAGAUGCUAUGUUGGGGCAACACCCUAUAGAAAGACUCUCCAGACUUGAGAGGGAUUUUAGAUUUCUUGGUAGGGACUCCGUUUUGCAAUACCAAAAUUCCAGGCACUUGACAGAUGAGAGAUUUGCAGGCUCUUCAAAUGAAACCGAUGGCUCUUUGCAAUAUGAAAGAUCAAGAUUCAGUGGGACUAUAAACCCUUUAGCCAUUAGCAUGUGGUUGAGCAAUACAGAGCUACUAACCGUGAGCGAUUCCUGGACACGAAACUGUGAGAUGCACUUGGCAGUGAGGUUUGCAACAUCUACUAAACUUAGGUGCUUAAGGUGCAGGGAAGACAAGCCUUCAACAAAGCAAAGAUCAGGGAGACCAUUUAGACAUAAUGAUUCAAGGGAGGUCAGGUGGCCAAUCGAUAAGGAUGGGGAGCUUCUGCAGACAUUAAUGUAAAGACGUUUCAGGUGUGGCAAGCCAUUAAUGAAUGAAUCAACUGCAAGAAUGCAGCCACAGAUUCUGAGAUCGCUAGCAAGGUUCAACGGCAUUAGUUCUGAUCCACGUGCUAGCUCUAAAGAAGGACAAUCCAAACAGUGAAGAUAGGAAAGAGAUGGAGCAGCAUGUAAGCCCCCCAGUGAUUUGAGACACAAACAACCUAUUACAACCAACCUGACAAGCUUUGUCAAAUGCUCAAACACCUUUUCUGAUGGAAGUGUAGUUAAUGCCAUAUUAUAUUUCAAUUUUAAAUUCCUCAAUGAAAUGAGGCCACCAAGGCAAAUAGCUAAAGCUUCAUCUGUAAUACUGCAUGAAGAAAGAGAAAGUUCACAGAGUCCUGACGGUAGAACUAAUGGCAUCUCCAUGGUCCUUCCAUAAAUGAAUCUUAUCCUCUGUUCAUGGCAAAAGAGCCAUGCCUUGAUGAUGUUUUCAUUCAUCCAUACUUUAUCUUCUCUUUCCUCCAGACCACUUUCAAUGAUUUGAAGAUGCUUUGAUAUAUCAUCAUCCAUCAUCAAUGUCAUCAACUGCUUCAGAGAUGAAUAGUCUUUCGACAGUAUACUCCUAACUUUUUUUCCUGAAUCCACCUCCCACAUCAAUGUAAGUUUAGAUGCCAGGUCGUCUGCCUUGAUUAUUAUAUUUUCCCUCAAGUCAUGCUGUCCUAGCUCAUUGAUAAACAUAAGCAGUGGGCACCAAUCAAUUGAUAAAUCUGUAAGGCCUGCUGGAAGAUUAGAUAGUUCCUUCAAAUUUGGAACAAAGUUUAUACGCAACCUAGAGCAAUUCCGAAG
rnacentral:lncRNA from 1 species